rnacentral:lncRNA from 1 species
UUUUUUUUUUUUAUGUCAAAUUAAUAAUGGUGCAUGUAAAGGAUAUAAAAUAAAAAGACAAUCUUUGAAGGGUCAUUUCAUAAAUUUGAACCAUUGUCAUUAUUUAGUCGUAUCAUUGAGGGUGUUAAAUUCCAUGUAAUGGAAAAAACUAAAAGCAAAAUAUUUGUUUAAGUUUCUAGCUUUACGUGGUGUUUGCAAAACUUCUGCAAAAAUUCGGAGAAGACACUUCCCCCUUUUUCAGCGCACACAACCUGCUCGAGUCUCUAACCAUAAGCAGCACAUUUAUCAGUGACAAUUGGAUUUUCGAUCUGUAUAUUGUACUAGUAAGUAGCCGCAUUUGUUGUUAAAGCACAUUUCCAUUAUUUUAUUUUAGUGAAUUGCUAAAUUCAUAGUAGUAAAUAACUAAUUUAAACCAAGAAUUUGAAGGAAUAAUCAAAAGGAGUUAAUACUUAAUAGUGUUUCGUUGGUUGUAAGGUCUGCUACAUAGUUGCGGAGAUAAAAUUCUGGUCGUUGGUGAGAUUUUGUGUUAUGUAGGACUGGUUGGUACAUAAUUUGGAAAGUGGAUACAGGAAAAAUGAUGUGCCUGAAACAAGAACUUCUGGUUCUUUCUGAAUUGGCACGACAUAGAUCACUGUUACAAAUUGGUUGAAUUAGGCUCGCAGAUUUAGGGAUUAAAGUUUCAAGUUUUCAGAACCCCUUAAUCAUUUUUUUUUAUGACUGAGAAAUCCAUCUGGGGCCAACCCUUAGGACCAACCACCACCUUUGAAACUCGAGGAUAGUGGGCGCGCCUAAUAUAUUCUUCAGGAACUCACCUGUUCAAGAAGAGAAAUACUGUGGCACGAGCAGAGCUCGAGCUGUACAGCAAUGGAGAAUGUAGAACAGAGAAGGAAUUAGAGAGGAAGGGAGAGAGUUUUAUUCAUAUCAGUCAUGAAAUGUACAAUUGAACAAUCAAUGAAAUACAGCUGAUCCCUAUUUACAUUUUCAGUUCUAAGUUCUAACUUCUUCUUAACAGCUAAUAACUUGCCGAUGUGGCUAACUACUCCAACUAACUGAACCGCUGCUCCAACUAACCGAGUUGCCUAUUGAGUCCCAAAUGCUUGUAACACUGCCCCUUUACCCUUCUCUACUUAAAUACCAGACUUAGUUCGCAUGGCGCAGGGCUCGAACCUGUGACCUAAGUCACAAGUCUCUCAACCUUUUACCACUUGAACUAAGCCCUGGGGGGCAACCCCUUAAUCAAAUUUACAAAUUUACGGAGAAAAAAAGAAGAGUUUUUCCCUUUUUUUCCUUUCUCUCACUUUCUUUUCUUUAAAACGAUUUAAUGUUUAUAAAAGUUGUGCUAUUUUACCUAUCCACGGAUAGUGUCUCAUUUGCUUCACAAACUUAUUUUGCUCUCUGUACUUUCGCCCUCGACUUAUAGCAGUGGAUGAAAACAAUAAUGCAACAGAUGAUGCGGAGAUGGUAGAGAGUUCAAGUGGAAAGGAGUUGACCACAAAUUGUGUUGAAGCUGAAGGGCGUUUGAAUAUGGAACCUUAUGUCGGUAUGGAAUUUGAAGCAUAUCCCCUUAACCAAAUUUGCGGAAAAAGAAAAAAAAGAAGAGUUUUUACCUUUUCCUUUCUUCUGCCACUUUCAUUUCUGCAAUGCAAAUACAGAUCUUGAAACGACGAUCUAUUAAAGUUGUGCUAUUGUAGGUAGCAACGGAUAGUUUCUGAUAUUUGUUUCACGAUCUUAUUCUGCUUCUGUAUUUUUCUCGUGUCAUGGCAGUGGAUGAAAACAAUACUACAGCAGAUGAUGGGGAGAUGGUAGAGAGUUCUAGUGGGAAGGAGUUGACCAGAAAUGGUGUUGAAGCUGAAGGGCGUCCGAAUUUGGAACCUUAUGUGGGUAUGGAAUUUGAAUCAGAAGAAGCUGCUAAAGCAUACUAUAGCACAUAUGCGACACAUUUGGGGUUUGUCAUGAGAGUAGAUGCAUUUCGUCGAUCUAUGCGUAAUGGGGAGUUGGUGUGGCGCCGACUUGUGUGUAAUAAAGAGGGUUUCAGUAAAAGUAGACAAAAUCAGAAUGGACAAAGGAAGUGCAGAGCAAUUAGGGAAGGAUGUAAGGCAAUGAUAAUAGUGAAGAAAGAACAAUCUGGAAAAUGGGUUGUUGCUAAAUUAGUGAAGGAGCACAAUCAUCCACUGGUUGUUAAACCUGCUAAUACCCGCAUAGGUUCAAUCUUGUGUCAAACACCGGUAAGUACUUCAAACUAAUUGAUGAAAUUUGGUUGUUGACAUAUAUAAAGACAAUUCUCUCUACACAGCUACUUCUCAAGUUCUCUACACACUGUUUUGUAUGAAAUGCAUUUCUCUUUAUUGCCAUCAUUCCUUUCUCUUUUUCUCACAUUUAUUAGAACAGAAGUCGGCGGUUUACUUUACCGGUUGAGACUUAAGUUGACAACUUCUACUUUCUUGUUCCGCUUUGUUGCUAAAACAUAAUCACCGCUUCCAUGUCUUUCAUCUUUGAGUUCUUACCUGAUGCCAAUAAUGAUCCUCUUCUACAAAUAUUUAGUUCACUGCAAUUUAGGAUGCCUGUUAGUGUGGCAUGACUUUCUCCAUGGAAAAUAAGCUAGUUCUUGCAAUGCAUUGACUGUUACCCCUUCCUUACUAGAUAUUCAUAUUUGCACUAAAUUAUUGAAGCUAUUCAAAGAAUGUCUUGUUGGAUUCUGUUCGGCAAUACUUCUAGCUUUAGGAAUUUAGAGAAACUUCUAGUCCAAAAUGUUUAUCCUGCAAGCAGCUUCCUUGCAAUGGAGCACAAAGGGCUUGUUAGUGAAGGAGAUAUUGCUCUAUUGCAAUGACAUUGUGAAAUCUUUUCUCUUAUCAUAUAAUAAAAGGCUAAACUACAGGAGAACCAAAAAUUUGUUACUGUUUAAAGUCAAACAGAACAGAUGUCUAUUACCGGUCAUGUGAUCUAAGAUUUCUGAAUCAAGAACCAGAGCCAAGGGAAGAAGAAUGCAUGAGAGACUCAACUCUUAUGAUCGAUUGACCGCUUAGAUAAUAGGAUCUGCGGUGUUCUCGAGGUAGCAAAUACACACUUCACGAACUUUGUUGGAAAGUUUUUGGGUGAACAAGGUAAUUGUCGGAAAGUUUUUGGGUGAACAAGGUAAUUUGAACUUUGCUGUUUUCUUCCUUUGGCUCUGGAUUCUUGGUUCAAAAGUUCAGAUCACAUUACUCUCCAAAUAUAAGAUUCACAAGAAUUAAGAAACUUCUUCAGAUCUCUUGUACAAGGAGCCUUAUUAUGUUGUGUUAAUCACCACUUCGAUAACUCUUUUCUAUUGUUUCAAUAUGAUAUCCGUGCUUACACAAUCCCCAGACUUACAUGGCUUCCACCUAAGGCAAGACUGGCCUCCCAACCAAACAUUUCUUUUUCUAUUUUCAAAAAGUCUUUCAAUUCUGUCUGUUUUUGGUGACUGCUAGAGCGACACCACAUCUCUUUAGUGUCUAUCUUUGUUUGUCCGCCCUCAUUCGACCCGAUUCUGUUAUUAGUCCUCAAGAUGAACACAAUGGUGAAGAUCCCCUCUCGAAGUCCUUCGCACAUCAGGCUUGAAGUCUCAGCUCCAUUAGUCUGUCUAUCCCAUGCACCAUCAAGUCUCAAGGACUCUGAUAUCAGUCCAUGUCAGCUGACAUGUUAAGUCAAUAUUCUGCAUCUGUCUGUUCAUUUGUCAACUAGGGUAUUACAGUUGCAGUACUGUUAGUCAAACAAAGGGUGGUCUACUUAACUGGCACUAUAUGUCUGCUAGGUAAUGUUCCUUUCGUUCAGUGGAGGAUGAUACAUUUGUCUAAUGUACAUUCUGGGCCCAACAUUUGCAACAAGUAUGACCCUUUAUAAAUUGUCUUUAGCUCGAGCUCAUGUCCUACCUGGAUCCUCACAGGGCCUUAUUAACAUAGAUUAUAACCUCGCUUUCAGCCAGUAUCUGAGCGCGAAUUCCCCUUCCUUUCUGUUGAUAUAGGCUCAGAUAGCUAUUGGUUGGACCAUAGACAGUGGCGGGAAAUAUGUGAACGUAUGAACCCAAUCCAUGAAGGAUCUAUUACAGAUACUUUCUUUAUCUUAGAUCUGAUAUGUGGCUAUCAUUUGAGGUUCUGAGGGUAGUGCAUAAAUCAUUGGUGACUAAGCGAUCCACUCUCAAAUUGUAUAAGCUUACUUGAUUGAUAUCUCUUAGUUAGUUGCCUCUUGUCAUACAUAUUCAGCUUAAUCAGCUAGAUUUAUUGAUUAAUAAGUCUUUAUCCCGAUAAAUUGAUCUUUUCGUAUUCAACAACUAUGCCUCAAUCCUAAACUAUUUGGAAUCAUCUAUAUUGAUCCUCUUUAUCCAUUCUGCUCCAUUUGGCUAACUUCAUACAAAUAUUCAAUAAUUGUCCUUUUAAGACAAAAUUAGGAAUUCUAUAACACUUGACUAAUUUUCUUUUGAAAAUGUAAUCAAAAUUUAAUUAAAGAAUAGCAUCCAAAGAGUGCAAUGAUGAGUAGUAUCUACUUCCUGUACAUUUUCAUUUUCUCACUGGAAGGCUAAAAGACCUAAACAUAUGUGCUUUAAGUUACAAAUAUUCUCCUUUUUGUCUUCAUAGUAUCUCUGAUUUCUUGUAUUCCAUAUAGUCCACUAUAUUGCUGCUGGUUUGGUGUUCCACAAUUUUUUGUCGUCCUUCGUUAGUCCUCUUCAAUUCCAACAAUGCAGCAGGUCUUUAGGAGAUUCUGGCUCGCACCAUUGAACUUAAAGCAAAUUCAAGAGCAUGUAUCAGAUCUGGUUUGUGAUUCUGCAAUGGAUGAAUGAGUGUUUUGCGUCUUCAUAAUCUUCAUCACACAUUAUACAUCUGUUGCAAAUAGCUAUAUCUUUUUGUAGAUUGUUUUGGGUCCAGCAAGCCUCUCUGGCCACUACCCAUGAAAAACAUUCUACUUUGUAAGGUGCUUUAUUUCUCCAUAUCGAUUUCCAUGGCCAUACUUCUUGUUGUCUAUUUUGAGACAAAACUUGAUAUCCAGACUUCACUGAGAAAAGGCCACGCCCUUGUUCCUUUCAACUAUCCUAUCUGGAAUUAACUGUUGUACUUGAAAACUCUCUAUCAUCUGCAAAAAACUACUCAUUUCCUCCAUUUCCAAAUCACUACACCUUCUCAAGGAAAUGUUUCAUCCUUGGGUACACCGCUAAUCUUUUACAGUCGCAUUGUGAUUAUUUACUAUGUUGAAAAUGGCAGGGAACUGAUUUUUGAGGGGCUAUGUCCUAAUCAUCUUUCUUUCAAAAAUAAAGUUUUUCUACCAUCGUCUACCUUGAUGUACAUGUGUUCUGAGAAUAUAUUCCAUACGUUUCUAACUUUUUCCCAAUUCCCAGCUCCAUAUGAGUGCCUCGAUGUUAUCGUUAUCCAAGAAUUUUCUAUCUUGUACUUCUCUCUAAUCAUCUGCCUGCACUCAUUGCAAAAUCUCCAUAACCACUUCAUAAGAAGACUAUUGUUGUGCACCCUUAGAUUCUUGACUCCCAAGCCGCCUUCCUUCUUGCCGAUGUCACAUUCCCACUUAACCAGAUCGAAAGACUUUUUGUCAUUGUUUCAUUGCCACAAAAAAUCCCUCCUUAAGUUAUCGAUUCUCUUCUCCACCUUGUUUGGUAGAGGAAAGAGCAACAUAGUAUAAGUCGUUAGUGCGUGCAGAAACUAUCAAUUAGAAGCAACCUUCCCCCAAGAUAAGUAUGGUCUUUUCUAAUUUGCUAGUCUCUUUUCACACUUUUCAAUCACCCCUUCCCAAAUAUUGUAUUCUAUGUGAAUGGCAUCCAAAGGCAUACUUUUCAAUCACCCCUUCGUUAAUGUUGGGCACCUCGUUUACUGAAAGAAUCCGACUCUUGGCAUAAUUUAUGUGCAGACCUGAUAUUGCUUCAAAGAGCAAUAAAAUUGUCUUCAAAUAUAGUAUUUCUUCUUCACUUGAGUAUUUUUAACUUACACUUAUAAUUCCAAACCAACUAAAAAGACCCCUAAGCAGACGUCAGACCUAAUGUUGAUGUUCCGACAUGACUAAGUUGUAAUCUCUCAACUAGUGGCUAUCACCCACGUGGCUCCUUUGCUUCUAUUUGUUCUUUCCUUAGUCCACAUCGAUUCUGAUAUUUUUCCAUAGCUUUUCGAAAAUGCUGGUAUAUAAGAUUAUCCAUCCUACUUAAUGCACUUAAAAAUAGCAGAAAUUUCGUGGCAAAAUCGCUGAACCCUUUUGGGCUGGUAGGCUAAAGGCUUGGCUUUGUAUAAUCGCUCUGUCUUCCUUAUUUUAUACUGUGAAAGUCACACAGCUGGAAUAAUUUAAUACUGAUAUCUGCAUAUUGUGCAUGUAUGGUUUUCCACAUGUGGUAACUGCUCUCUUUGGAAUAAUGAAUGCAUAUGGUCAACUGGUGUCAGAGGGGCUCUUUCGCUGUGUGAAUAAAUAGAGCAUUAGUUUGUUAUACAUAUAAUUUGCAGAAUGUAAAUUGAACCAAAAAAAAAUGUGUGCAGUACUGCAGUCGCAGAAACCCAAUGGACACAUGAAUUGCAGUUAAAAUGGCAAAGAUGUGUUGCAAAUUUCUUCUAAUAUUUCCAUUAGUGAUUUAUCACUGCUUUAAGGGUUGUUGCUAAAUUCUUCUAAGAUUCUAUUAGUGCUUUGUCAUUGCUUCCCCCUGCCCUCCGCUCUUUCCUAUUAGGCAAUAUCAUCUUCUUUAGAAGAAAAAACAGUUUGAUUGUGUGAUGUGCCUGUGCUGUUCCUGAUAUUCGGUGGACCAAUUUCAGGAUGAUAAAGAUGUGAAGAUCCGGGAAUUAACAGCAGAGUUACAGAAGGAGCGUAAAAGAUCUGCUGUUUUGCAAGAGCAGCUAGCUAUGGUUUUGAAAGAUAUGGAGGAUCACUCAGAUCAACUAUCAAAGAACAUUAACGACAUUGUUAAAAGUGUGAAAGAAUUGGAAUCAAGAAAAAUUGUCUCUCCAAAUGGCGGAUAGCUUCUGUAGCCUCUUUUCCUUUCUUUCCUUUUUUUCUUUGGGAAAUAGUAACAUAGGCCCGUAAAUCAUUCGAAAGUCUAAGUUAAAUCUUUUGUACUACUUUAGUCCGAAACGAAAUACUUAUACUCCUACUUAGUUGUUGUAAAGUUCCCUUUGUCAUUUACUACUAGGAAGGAGUCAAGUUCAAGGACAUGUUGCCAUUUAAGGGUAUAAUCUAGAGGUCAAUAAAGUGACAAAAAUGUCAGGUGAUUCUUCCUAUCUUUCGAAGUCGUGUUUUGCUUAUAUAUGUUGGGAGUUUUAUUUGGUACGUAAAAAUAAGUACCUCUACUAAGUAGCAUUUAUGUGAGAAAUUAUCUAUGUUUUUUUUAAGUGAACUCUGUUGGGAUUGGAGGUUGGUGUAUGGGAAAUGGAGGGAAGAAAUGUGAAGGGAAACUGAGUUGUUCCCUUAUGCCUUGGAAACGAGCAAUUGUCCCUCAUUGGUAGUGGAAAGAAAAGAGAAUGUGCUUAUAUUAAGAAAGGACUUCCCUUGGUGUUUGGAAAGAAGGUAAGUCUCGCGCCGUCGUCGUCGCUCGGCUUCGAUCAAAGAUCGAUUGAUUGAUUAAUUCAAAUAUUUAACUAUCAAACAUCAACCCGAAAUAACCCAGGAUCUGCGCGGCCCGAUCCAUUUCUUUCCCGGGAUAAUUUUAAAUAUUCCCGCAUGUUCCAACAGCCAUGGCUGUUUCUUAAAGGUUGCAAACUUUCAGAAACAAUGCCAGAAAAUGGCUAUAAAUUCGCUUUGAUUCAAGAUUUUUUCCUUACGAAAUUUUCUGAACUUCAAACUUCUUCUUCUGCACAAAUAAAAUCCAGUGUGAUUUACAUCCAUUGAGUUAUUCGCAGUUCAUCAGCGUUUUAGGUACCGAUAUUCCGGUGAGUCAAAUCGUUCUAUCCUGGGAGGAUAAUAUUCCAACACCUCGGGUACUUGAGGGAAAUAAUUUCUUCAGUGGGCUCAAUUUCAUUCCAAGAUAUAUUUUCAGAUUCUGGUUUCUGAUUAUUUCCAGUUUCUGCUUUACUUCUGUUUUUUCCUGUUUCUGCUUUUGCUACAGGAAAUUUACUGUUUCAUAAUAUUAUAGUUAAUGCAGACUAAUAACAAUUUUAAGGAAAUUAAUUUUAUACUUUAAUCUGUAUUCUGAUUCUGGAGAUUAAAACAUUUGUGGUUUUCUACUCCUUGUAAAUUUUUCUGUUUCUAAUUUGAAGAUAUAAAAACCUCAUCGGAGUAUUAAAGUUCAUAAUUCAGAAACGAUUUGAAGAACAUAAAAAAUUCAUCGUUUUCUUGUGAAACAGUAUAUAAGAACUUCUAUUUUGUUUAUUAAAAGUACUGUUUAUUAUUAAUUAUAGUAAUAUUUACUGUUUUAUUUUUCUGCCAUUAAUUAAACUAUUCUGUUGUUGUUUGUCAACUAUUGACAGUGAGAAAUGGCAAUUGAAAUUGAAAUUCCUUCUGCGAUUAUUGUGGCAACGAUAAUAGCCUCGUCAAGCUGAACUGUUGUGCCACCGGUGGAAAAAUCGGAGAAAUUUUCUGGAGCCAACUUCAAAGGAUGGCAACAAAGAGUGUUCUUUUGGCUUACCACACUUGGUAUGCAGAAAUUCACCAAUGAAGACCCUCCAGUGCCUGCCGCCGAAAUGCCAGAUAAUGAAAAAUUUAUGAUUGUUGAAGCGUGGAAACAAGCAGAUUUUCUUUGCAAAGGCUAUAUGCUAAGUGCUUUGGAGGAUGAUUUGUACAAUGUCUACGGUGCUAUGAAUACUUCGAAGGAAUUGUGAGAUGCACUUGAGAGAAGUAUAAGACUGAAGAUGCGUGCUUGAAAAAGUUUGUGGUUGUCAAGUUUCUAGACUAUAAAAUGAUAGACAGCAAAACCGUUGGAACCCAAGUUCAAGAGCUUUAACUUAUUUUUCAUGACCUUAUGGCUGAAGGUAUGGUAGUGAAUAAAGUAUUUCAGGUGGUUGCAAUGAUUGAAAAGUUGCCUCCUUCGUUGAGAGAUUUCAAAAGGUAUCUAAAGCAAAAGCGCAAAGAAAUGAAGUUGGAAGAUCUUGUGAUUCGUAUCAAGAUGGAGGAGGAUAACAAAACAGCCGAGAAGAAGUCGCAUGGAAAUUCAACGAUUAUGGGAGCGAAUAUCGUUGAAGAGGCUGCUCCAAAAAACAAGAAAAGGAAGAGGUCUUCUCGGCAGACUAAGGAGCAGAAUAAGAAAAAAUUCAACGGCAACUGCUAUAAUUGUGGAAAAGCUGGUCACAAAGCCCCUGACUGACAUCUCCCGAAAAAGGAUAAGAAAAAGGGGCAGGCCAACAUAGUGGAGAAGAAUAAUGACAUUGAUGAUCUGUGUGCAAUGUUUUCGGAAUGUAACUUAGUUGGAAAUCCGAAGGAGUGGUGGAUUGACUCUGGAGCCACUCGAUAUAUUUGUGCUGUCAAAGAAGCAUUUGCUACUUACUCUACUGUUGGUCCCGAAGAAGAGCUUUCCAUGAAAAAUACUUCAACAACCAAGAUUGAGGGUUAUGGGAAGAUAUUCCUGAAGAUGACUUCCAACAAGGUGUUAACGCUCAACAACGUUCUUCAUGUUCCUACUAUUAGAAAAAAUUUAGUUUCAACUUCCCUACUUGUUAAGAUUGGAUUCAAAUGUAUUUGUAUAUGACAAAGUUGUUGUAAGCAAAAAUAAUAUGUAUGUUGGAAAGGGCUAUAUCAUAUAGGGCCUUUUCAAACUUAAUGUAAUGGUUGUUGACAGUAUUAAUAAAAAUUCAGCUUCUUCUUAUUUAUUGGAGUCAAAUGAUUUAUAACAUAUUUGCUUAGGACAUGUCAAUUACAAAACCUUGCGGAAGUUAAUUAAUUUAGAAAUAUUGUCUAAAUUCAAGUGUAAUAAAUCAAAAUAUCAAAUAUGUGUUGAAUCUAAGUUUGUCAAACAUCCUUACAAGUGUGCUGAAAGGAAUUGAUNNNNNNNNNNNNNNNNNNNNNNNNNNNNNNNNNNNNNNNNNNNNNNNNNNNNNNNNNNNNNNNNNNNNNNNNNNNNNNNNNNNNNNNNNNNNNNNNNNNNNNNNNNNNNNNNNNNNNNNNNNNNNNNNNNNNNNNNNNNNNNNNNNNNNNNNNNNNNNNNNNNNNNNNNNNNNNNNNNNNNNNNNNNNNNNNNNNNNNNNNNNNNNNNNNNNNNNNNNNNNNNNNNNNNNNNNNNNNNNNNNNNNNNNNNNNNNNNNNNNNNNNNNNNNNNNNNNNNNNNNNNNNNNNNNNNNNNNNNNNNNNNNNNNNNNNNNNNNNNNNNNNNNNNNNNNNNNNNNNNNNNNNNNNNNNNNNNNNNNNNNNNNNNNNNNNNNNNNNNNNNNNNNNNNNNNNNNNNNNNNNNNNNNNNNNNNNNNNNNNNNNNNNNNNNNNNNNNNNNNNNNNNNNNNNNNNNNNNNNNNNNNNNNNNNNNNNNNNNNNNNNNNNNNNNNNNNNNNNNNNNNNNNNNNNNNNNNNNNNNNNNNNNNNNNNNNNNNNNNNNNNNNNNNNNNNNNNNNNNNNNNNNNNNNNNNNNNNNNNNNNNNNNNNNNNNNNNNNNNNNNNNNNNNNNNNNNNNNNNNNNNNNNNNNNNNNNNNNNNNNNNNNNNNNNNNNNNNNNNNNNNNNNNNNNNNNNNNNNNNNNNNNNNNNNNNNNNNNNNNNNNNNNNNNNNNNNNNNNNNNNNNNNNNNNNNNNNNNNNNNNNNNNNNNNNNNNNNNNNNNNNNNNNNNNNNNNNNNNNNNNNNNNNNNNNNNNNNNNNNNNNNNNNNNNNNNNNNNNNNNNNNNNNNNNNNNNNNNNNNNNNNNNNNNNNNNNNNNNNNNNNNNNNNNNNNNNNNNNNNNNNNNNNNNNNNNNNNNNNNNNNNNNNNNNNNNNNNNNNNNNNNNNNNNNNNNNNNNNNNNNNNNNNNNNNNNNNNNNNNNNNNNNNNNNNNNNNNNNNNNNNNNNNNNNNNNNNNNNNNNNNNNNNNNNNNNNNNNNNNNNNNNNNNNNNNNNNNNNNNNNNNNNNNNNNNNNNNNNNNNNNNGUAUGUUGGCUAAACUCCUCUUUUAGAAUUGAACCCCACAAUGGCCUUGUAAGUCCCGUGUUACUCAUUAUAAAUUAAUUAUUCCGAAUAAGCCUUGUGUCAAGAGAUAUAUGCGCUCAAUUUUUAUUCCAAAUAUACUUGUUAUGUUGAGUUACAAUUUGAGAAGGUGAUUAAGCAUUGGUUGUGGGUUAAUAUAUUAUGAUUUGAAAACGUGAUUCUAAUGAAAACUAGCAUGUCGAAUUGUGUAAGAAAUCACAUGUGCUUAACACCUUUAAUUUGGUCAGUUGCUCAAAUGUAUAUUUAAAGUCUUGAGUAGAAAUGCCUUGUUGUUGACAAUCUAUAAGGAUGCUUGAAAAUGAAGGAAAUAAUUUGGAGAUAUAAGGUGUGGCCAACAUGCCAAGAAUGAAAGUUAUACUUGUGGCCAAUGGUUCCGAGAAAAUAAAAUGAUGUGAGAAAGGUUAUGAAAUAGGCCUUAAUCCAACUGUUCCAAAUUGACUUCCAAAAUAGAUGUACCUAAAAGCUUAUGUGUUCAGGUCAUGCCCAAAUGUGGCCGUCUUAAUUAAUUCUAUAUCUUGUAAGUAUUUUCAAAGUGUUUUGAGAUCUUAUAUAUAUAUUCAUAAGUUGAAAUGGUGUAUUGCCCUUUUUGGGAAAAAGUAUUUCAAGAAUGAGUGAUGUAUUAAAGAUUUUCUAUUGUGACUUAAUUAUGUUAUACCCCCUUCUUGGGAAGAAAACCUUGUAUGAAAUCAAUGUAAUCAAACACUUAUUUCUCAUAUGAUGAAACCUUAUGAACCUACUCUUUCUAAGGCCAAACGUGCCAAACAGUUGAUUGGAAGAGAACCCCUUUUACAAACUAUUAUCGUUUUGAGAAUUUAGAGUUGUGGUAUUGUGAUUAUACCUCCACCCACAUACAUUGGGGUGAGGCGGCGGGGCCGUUUUGUUUAGAGAUUGUAGUAUUGUGAUACACCUUCACCCGCAUAUAUUGGCGUAAGGAGGCAGGUCUGCUUUGUAUAGAGAUUGUGGUAUUGUGAUAGACCUCCACCCGCAUAUAUUGGGGUAAGGCGGCAGGGCCGCUUUGUGUAGAGAUUGUGAUACACCUCCACCCGUAUAUAUUGGGGUGAGAUGGUAGGGCCGCUUCGUGUAGGAAUUGUGGUAUUGUGAAAUACCUCCACCCACAUACAUUGGGGUGAGGCGGCAGGGCCGCUUUGUGUAGCGUUGAGGGUGUCAUGAUUUCACCUCCACCCGCAUACAUUGGGGUGAGGCGCCAGGGCCGCUUUGUGUAAAGGUAGUGGUAGAGGAUCCCCGACUUAAGAAUUUAUAAAUGUUAUUGAAAGCUUUUAAUAAAUUUAUUGUGGCUUUAACGGCUAACUAAACCUUUUAUUGUUACCAUGAUUCAUCAUAUUCAUAUUGUAUUUCUAAGUCCUUGAAUAGGUGUUUUGGUUUUCAUACUAGUACUAUUCUAUAUGUACUAACGUCCCAUUUUGCCGGGGCCGCUGCAUCUUCAAUGGAUGCAUGUGGUUUGUCAGCGGGCGGUUUUGAUCCUCGUUAGUAGUUACUCUCUAUUCAGUAGAUUUUGGCGAGCCCUACUCUAUUCCAAGUUUCAUGUCAUUUGACGUUGUACUUUAUGUUUUGAGGUAGAAUUGUGGCCUUGUUGCCGGCACUUCCAUUCUUCUUUUCUGUUGUACUUAGAGGCUCCGUAGACAGAUUGUGGGUGGUAUUCGAUGUUGGAAAUUGAACUAUAAAUAUUGGUAUUUGGCAAACAUGUUUUUCAUUACAUCUAUAAACUUGUAAUAUUUUGGGAAUCAUAAAUGAAUAUCCUUUGAGUAAUGGAAAAAGAAUGAGGAAUAUUUGAUUUUUUCUCAUGUCUAUCACCUGUAUUGAUUCUUAUAUUGUUAAUGGGUAAGAUUGGGUAGAAGGCAUCUAGUAGGCUUGCUCGGCCGGGGUAUCUCGGUUGAGCGUCGGUCGCGCUCCCGAGGUCGGGGCGUGACAAUUGCGAAAAGAAAAAAAUCAAACAUUAAAGGAAAUGAUGAAUUCUUUAUUAAUAAGUUCCGGCUAACCGCAAAGUUUGUGGGGGAAGCUAUCCUUAUAGCUAACUAAAUACUCAACAGAGUACACCACAGCAAAACACAAUCUAUUCCAUAUGAAAAAUAAAAAGAAAAAAAACCUAACUUGAAAUAUUUCAAAGUGUGGGAGUGUUUAGCAAGGUACAAGUACCUUUACUCAAAAGGGUAAAAAUCGGACCAAAAAAUAUGGAUUGUGUUUUUAUUGGAUAUGCUACAAACUGUAAAGUAUGUCGGUUUUUGGUUCAUAAAUCUGAUAAUCCCGAAAUUCAUGUUAAUACGGUAAUUGAAUAAGAGAAUGCUGAAUUCUUUAAAAAUAUUUAUCCGUAUAAAAAUGAAUGCGAGUCGUCAAGUGAAAGAUCUAAACGACCACAUGAAGAACUAAAGGAAAAUACUCCAAGUGAAUAGGAUCUAAGGCGUAGCAAACGUCAAAGAACAUCUACUUCCUUUGGACCAGAUUUUGUGACAUUCUUGCUUGAAAAUGAGCCUCAAACUUUCAAAGCAGUUAUGUCAUCUUCUGAUUCAGCAUUUUGGAAAGACGUAGUCAAUAGUGAGAUUCAAUCGAUUUUAGAUAAUCAUACAUGGGAAUUGGUUGAUCUUACUCCAGGAAAUAAGCCUUUAGAUUCGAAAUGGAUCUUUAAGAGGAAAAUGAAAGUUGAUGGCACUAUUGACAAAUAUAAGGCAAGACUUGUUGUCAAAAUAUUAUAGACAAAAGGAAGGCCUUAAUUACUUUGACACUUAAUCGCCAGUAACGAGGAUAACAUCUAUUAGUGUGUUAGUGGCAUUGGCGAUCGUGCAUGGUCUUGAAAUUCAUCAAAUGGAUGUUAAAACAGCUUUCUUAAAUGGAAAUUUGGAGGAAGAAAUUUACAUGAAACAACCUGGGGGUUUGUGGUUCCUAGUAAAGAAAAGAAAGUGUGCAAACUUGUUAAGUUGCUUUAUGGACUUAAACAAGCACCCAAACAAUGGCAUGCUAAAUUUGAUCAAACAAUGUUGGCAAAUAGUUUUAAAAUCAACGAGUGCGACAAAUGUGUUUACAUUUAAAACACUCCAGGUCAUGAAUUCAUUAUUUGUUUAUAUGUUGAUGGCAUGUUGAUAAUGAGCAAAGAUAUGGCAGAUAUAAAUGCUAUUAAGCACAUGCUGGCUAGCAAAUUUGACAUGAAAGACUUAGGAGUUGUUGAUGUGAUCUUAGGAAUCAGAACUCACAAGACUCCACAAGGUCUAGCAUUAUCACAGUCUCACUACAUUGAAAGGUACUUAACAAAUUCAAGUAUUUGGAUUUCAAGAUUACCAAGACUCCAAUUGACGUGAGUAAUGCACUUUAAAAGAAUGAAAGUAAAAGUGACUCACAAUUGGACUAUGCAAGAGUAUUGGGAAGUUUGAUGUAUAUCAUGAAUUGUACGUGACCAGAUAUAGCAUGUGCUAUUAUAAAACUGAGUCGGUUUACAAGUUCUCAAUCAAUUACAUUGGAUGGUAAUGAAACGAGUUUUGGGGUAUCUGAAACAUACCCAAGACUAUGCUCUGAACAAAUAUCCCUCCGUGAUUGAGGGACAUAGUGAUGCAAAUUGGAUUACCGGAUCAUCUGAAGUUAAAUCCACGAGUGGAUAUAUUUUCACAACUGGGGGUGGAGUAAUGUCUUGGAAAUCAUCCAAACAUACGUAAGUCGCCUGUUCUACGAUGGAAUCUGAAUUCAUAGCUUUAGACAAGGCCGGUGAAGAAGCUGAAUGGCUCCUGAAUUUCUUGGAAGAUAUUCCAUUUUGGCCCAAACCUUUGGCACCUAUAUGUAUACAUUGUGAUAGUCAAGCAGCAAUAUGUAUGGCAGGGAGCGUUAUGUAUAACGAAAAAUCUCGUCACAUACGGCGGAGACACAAUACCGUUAGACAACUACUCUCUAGUGGUGUUAUCACGAUUGAAGUCAAGAGAUAACGUGUCGGGCCCACUUACAAAAGGCCUAUCUAGAGAGUUAGUUGGAAGAUCAUCGAAGGGAAUGGGGUUAAGACCUAGGAAGAGUCAUCAUGGCGGUAACUCUACCUAGCAGACUGGAGAUCCCAAGAGUUAGGUUCAAAGAGAUCAAACAAAGUUAUGAAUGGCAGAGUAAAGCAUUAAGGAUUUUUGAUGAGUCAAUAAAGCUUAAAGCUUCUUAAUGAUUUGCUAAGUCUGGCAGGAAAUGACCAGAUAGUGUGUCUAUAGGACUACACGUUUAGAAAUCACCUAUGUGGGUGCGAAGUGUAAGCCGCUUCAAGGGAAAUGAAAGUAAAUGCCCAUUCUCUAUGCACUCAUGAAAUCAGGCGAUGUUCAUGGCUGAAACGAACACAACCAUAAGAAUCAUAGAUGGUUAAGGGCUAAUUGUGUGACUUAUGUUGUCUAGGUAUAUGACAAAGCUCGGCGGUUCAAAGAUAUCAAAUCUAACGAUUAACCGAGUAUAUCCGAUAUAAGUUCACUACAGAAAGUUCGAAGGCUUGCUCGGCUCGGCUUCAGCUUCGAUCAAAGAUUGAUUGAUUAAUCUUUUUGGAUAAAUUUUCUUUUAAUUAUUUAAUUAAUUAAUUUAAUUAUUAAAUCCAAUAUUUAAUUAGCAAAAGUCAACCUGAAAUAACCCAGGAUCCACGCGCGCGACCCGUGACCCGGUUCAUUUCUUUUUCGGAUAAUUUUAAAUAUCCAUGCUUGUUCAAACAUCCAUGGUUGUUUCUGAAAGGUUGCAAACUUUUAGAAACAGUGGCAGAAAAUGGCUAUAAAUUUGCUUUGAUCCAAGAUUUUUUCCUUACGAAAUUUUCUGAACUUCAAACUUCUUCUUCUUCUGCAUAAAUAAAAUCCAGUGUGAUUUACAGCCAUUGAGUGGUUCGCAGUUCACCAGCGUUUUAGGUACCGAUCUGGUGAGUCAAAUCGUUCUAUCCUGGGAGGAUAAUAUUCCAACACCUCGGAUAUUUGAUGGGAAUAAUUUCUUCAGUGGGCUCGAUUUCAUUCCAAGAUAUAUUUUUAGAUUCUAUUUCUGAUUAUUUCCAGUUUCUGCUUUACUUAUGUUUUUUUUCCCUGUUUCUGUUUUUGCUAUAGAAAAUUUACUGUUUCAUAAUAUUAUAGUUAAUACAGAUUAAUAACAAACUCAAAUUAAAGACAAAAUUGAGUUAACUCUAAUAAAGUAGUAUCUUUCCGUCCCAAUUUAUGUAACACAUUUUGCUUUCUGAGAUUCAAAUUUUUUAAUUAUAAUAGUUUAUUUGAACAUAGAAUUUUAAGUUUUUCAAAAUAAAAUUUAGAUAUUUAAAAAUAACGUAAAAAAUAAUAAUUGCGGUCAAUUUGACUCUCGAAAUCUAAAUACCGUCUAAACCUAUUACAUGGAUAAUUAAACCAAAAAUCAGAAAAUUGCUCUCUCACCAAUGUAUAAAUUCGAAUGUAUUACAUCGCCUUUAAGGGGUCACAUAUGAAUAUUUGGAAGCAGCAGAUAAACGAAAAAAACAAAAGAAAAAGUCACUGUAGCGGCACAUGACCUCGAUGAUGUCGUAGGUAAAGCAAUUUCUCUCUCUUUCCUCUUCUUAUCAUUCAUCGUUUUAGUCGAAAGAGUUGGUUAGCACUUCAGAAGUUGAAUUGAGUUUCUUUUUUCACUCUGUGGACGCCAAUUCUUGAAACAUUAUAGACCCACAAACUCCUUUCUUGCUCCUGUGUUCUUAAUUAGAUUUAGAGACCCAACAACCCCCCCUGAUCAGUCAGUAAAUAAUGAAGCUGGAAUCUUUUGGAUAUCCAAGUAAAUAGGGUUUACUUUGUCCACUUAUCAUUUUUUUUCAGUCGAGUCCUUAUUUUGUUAGCUUGAGCUUGAAUAAUCCCCAGAUUGAUAUAGGAGGAAUAUUUUAGUUUUAUGACUCCUUUUUAGAAUCUUUUGUGGAUGUAUUAGGCUUUGUUGCUACAGUUAAAAUUUAGCUCAAGAAACUCAACUAGGUGGACUUGGAGGUAUUUUACUUGGUUGAGGUGAGAAUGGUGUGAAUUAAUGAGUUGUUGUAAUUGUGUGUAUUGACCAUCUUAAAAGGGAAAAUGGACGGUUCUGUGCUGGCAUCUUUUUCCCCUUUAAUGAAUAAGAAUGUGAAUAUUAUGCAAGCUUGUGUUUGGAGAAAACUUUUGAGUUUGUUUUUCUUGUAACAAUUGUGCUCUGAGUUGAGCUUUUAGCUUUCAGUGACCUAAUUUUGAUGCAUUUUCCUACUUCUUUGCUUGUUUAAUUUGAUUAAUGAAGGGAAACAGAAAAGUAGAACAAUGCAUAUAUUGCUUUUGUUCAGUUCAAGCUUUUGAUAUCUGACGGCAGGACCCCGUAGGAUAACCAUAUGAAUCUAUUCAAGAAACUUUUGUGCGUGGUGGUUAUUUCCUAAUCAAUUUUAAUACAAUUAUCAUGUGUGCACACUACUUCCUCCUUGUACUUGACUUGAUUAUCAGUAAUACCCUGAAACGCUUCUAGAAAGUGUAUGUGAAGGAGUAUGAUCAUCAUUAGAUUUUUGUCAUGUCUGAUAGGCAAUCCUUGUUACUUGAAUCCUUCUUAGUUAGUCCUCAAGUUUCAGAAAACAGGAAUGACAGCUUGAUGGAUGAUGCAUAUCAGAUAUAUUUUCCUCAUUUCACGUACUAUUUGAUUCUCCAAGAGCAUAAAAUGCUUUAUUUUGCAAUUUCUUUUCCUUGUUGUUUUCUACGUCUGUGGUCAAAAUGGUGCACCAUGAGUCCAUGAGAUUGUUUCUGUUUAUACUUAUUUCCAUUUUGUGCUUUCCUCUUGAUUCCUUUUUCUGCUCCAAAUAUGCAGGAAUGAUGGAUUAUGGGCUUUUAUAAGUCUGAUGUGGCAAUGGGGAGCCCAUCUAGCCCUGCAUUUGGUUUGGAUGAAAGAAAAGAUUUUCCACCAGUUGAGAGCAAUGAUGAUCAUGGUUAUUUUGACGAAGAGCUCACAACAGACAUGGAUAUGUAUGUCGCUGAAGAUGAUAAAUGCUUAGGGCAUUCAAAUGGAGAACAAACAUCAAGUGACAAUGCUAUUGAGCCACAGAUUGGCAUGGAAUUCAACUCCAGAGAUGAUGCUAGAGACUUUUACAUGGCAUAUGGCAGGCGGAUAGGCUUUACCGUGCGGAUUCAUCAUAAUCGGCGGUCUCGGAUCAAUAAUGUGGUUAUUGGACAGGAUUUUGUCUGCUCGAAAGAAGGUUUUCGUGAGAAAAAAUAUAUUCAUAGGAAAGAUAGAGUUCUUCCUCCGCCACCUGCAACUCGAGAAGGCUGUCCUGCCAUCCUGAGAGUAGCUUUAAGGGAAAGCAAGUGGGUUGUCACAAAAUUUGUAAAAGAGCAUAAUCACGCUUUAAUGUCGCCGAGUAAAGUUCCGUGGCGAGGAUCUACAAGAAAAUUGGUCAGUCAGGUAAAUGUUAAUAAGCAACUAGGCAUUCAACAGAAUUACGUAUGAUGCAUUUGACAAGUUACGGUUCUACUUAUGAAUGUCAAUACACAUACUAAGUUGACUGACAGCAGACCAGUUUCCCACGGAAUUGACAUUUGAGUUCAUGUACUACAGCAAGCAUACUUACAUAUACUCUGUUAUAUAUGUUUGAAAGAGGGAGAAUGACUCGAUUGGCAGGCCAAUUUAUCUGUGGUCUAUUUUGUUUUUGCAACAAGGAAAUGCACUAUACAACAACAACAACAACAACAACAACAUGCCCAGUGAAUUCCCACAAAUGGGGUCUUGGGAGGGUAAGAUGUAUGCAGCCUUACCCCUACCCUGGAAGGGCAGAGAGACCAUUUCCGAUAAGGAAAUGCACUAUGUUGGAACUUAAUCAUUCUGCUAUUGCCCCUACUCAAAGCUGUUGAAAAAUCUUUUGCCUAAGAUGAUCUCUUUAUUUCUGUGGAAGAAUUCACCACACGUGAUCUUAUAUAUAAUUUUUUCUUCAAUGACUUACGAUUUUGUUUGUUUUAGGAUGAGAAGGAUCAAAGAAUUCGAGAGCUGACCCUUGAACUUUAUAAUGAGAGGCAGCGAUGUAAGCGGAGGUGUGCAGCUUACCAAGAACAACUACAAACAUUGUUGAAAUUCAUUGAGGAUCACACUGAUCAUUUAUCAAGAAGUGUUGAAGAAGCAGUCCAGCGAGUGAAAGAACUUGAGAAUGAACAGCUAGAGGAAUCAGAUUAGCAUACCAAUAGUUUGUACACAUUUUUUUCUCUCUCUGAUUCUAACUUGUUACUCUAGGACAAAUAGGAGUUAUUUUGAUCUGGGGUUGAGCUACUUGAAUGUAAGGGCCCAAGAAACUCCGUAUUGUAUCAUCAUUUGCAGGAAUUCAGUUGUAAUUGAAUAAAUAAAGUAGCCUUAAAGACAAAGACGUUUUCAUCUGUUCAUCAAGUUCUUGGGACAUGCUAAAGCCUAAUAGAUUAAGACUAGGGGGAAACGAAAAGAAAUAAAGGGUGUGUUUGGUAUGGAGGAAAAUGUUUUCUUAGAAAAUGUUUUCAUGAAAAAUGAGUGUUGUUAUCACUUAUUUUCCCUUGUUUGGUUGGUGAGGGAAAACCUUUUUGCGAAAAAUAUUUUCUAGUGUUUGGUUAGAGAGUAGAAAAUAUUUUUAGAAAAAUAAUUUUUUAUACUACUCACCUCACCAUCUCCCCUUCCCCAAGUCCCUAUGUUUCCUGUGCUCUCCCCCCAAAUACCUAAUAUUUUCAUGACUCUAUUUUCUUCAAGAAUUUAAUUAUUCUUUUAAAAAUUCACACAAACCCAAAGGAAUUAAUGUGUUGCUUUACUAUUUUACGCAAAAAACAACGUUGAACUUGUGCUCCAGAACUAAAAAAAUUACUCUUUUUUGGUUGAAAAAGAAUAUACUAUUUCUACAACAUAAAAAUAAAGUAUUCAUUUUGUUAAAAUAAAAAAAAAUAUUUUUUCUACAUCAUGAAAAAAAAUUACUUAUUUUGUUGAAAUAAAAGAAUACUUUUUGCUACAUCAUUUUGUUGAAAUGAAAGAAAAUAUAUUUUCUACAUCAUGAAAAGAAAGUACUUUUUUUGUUAAAAAAAAUAUCGUGAAAAAAAAAUACUCAUUUGUUGAAAUAAAUAAAAAAUACUCUAUCUAUAACAUGAAAAGAAAUUACUAUAAAUAAUAUUUCUAUUUAGGUGGGGGUGAGUUGGUGGGGGUUGGUGGGGGUGGGGUGUGAGGGUGAGUUGGUGGGGAUGGGGGAAGGUUAGAAAAGAGUUUUGGAAAAUAUUUUUAAAAAUAUUUAAGUCAACCAAACAUGAAAAAAUUGGAAAAUCGUCUAACUUCAUUCAAAAAUGAAACUUUAAUUUUUAUAGAAUCAAAUUCUAAAAUCAUUUCUAUUUUGAUCAUUUCUUAGAUUCUGUUGAAUUGUAUCGAAUCCAUUUUAGAUUUUAAAGCGAAGAGUUACCUUAUCAAACUAGAAAACUUUUUCUUUUUACUUUAAUUUAAGUUUAACACAUUAGAUNNNNNNNNNNNNNNNNACAUUAGAUUCAGUAAUAUAUUAAUUCACAUAAUAUCUUGAAUGAUUGAGAAGAGAAAAAGUUAUCACACAAUCGCUUGAAAAAAUCUUUUUUUUUGGUUUUCGUUGGAGACCAUUGCUUUGCUUUCUUUUGAACGUGCAUAUAUUGAGAGAGGAAAGAGGAGAAAGAUUAUUAUUUAUUAUAGAAGUUUUGAGAACACACGUGCGAGGUGCAUUGACAAUCAUUAUGUCAUUUCUCUAUUUUUCACCAAAGACAUGGAAUGCAGACCAUGAUUGGAUAUACAUUAAUAGAAACCAAAGUCAUGAACCCUGUUUUUACAGUGACCUCACUUUCAGUCAAUUGAGACUGAAAAAUGUACAGUAUACUGUAAAUGACGAGAUACAAGGCUUUGAACAACAUCUAACUAUUUUUGGUGUUGGCAGUAAAGACAGAAACAGGCUUGGUACUGCUUCUCGCAAUACCAUUGAAAAGCAUUUCCAGCUGAAACAUGUGAAUCUCUACUCAAGCUUGGAGAGGAGGUAAUCAACCUUUGAAAAUAAGUAGUAGUCUUAUUCCCAUACAAAUCCCCUCCUAAACAAGACAAAAAUCUAACCACAAUGAAAUUACACCAACCAAUUAACUGAUUAUACAAACAGCAGGCGCUCUGUUAUUCAAGGCCUUUCAGCUCCACCCUGGCUUCUGUGUCAAGUCAAAUGAGUGCCAAUCUUUGUAAUCCUUAUUCACCACAAGAACUUCACAGCCUGCUCCUCUCCACAGCCAAUCUCUGUAUUCUUGUUUAAGACCAAUAUGUAAUCAGAUUGUACACCAUCUUUCUACUUCAGUAUUUUAAAAAGAACUUGGACGGAUGCAAACAAACCGCGGAGAUGAACCUUACUAAAGUUGCUUCGUCUCACCCGUCAGAAGAACUGUUAACUUAAUACUGGUCAAUGAACCCUGUUACAGUACAAAACCCAUUGGGGAAGAGGGAUUCCUUGGUUAGAGGCUCUGCUCAAUAGUUAAUUUGUAGCCUGAGAAUACCAAGUAAAGGUGAUUGCUUACGCAUAUACAGGCAUUCAUCUCUUCUUUUUCUUCAAAAGUGAUGUGGCUUGCAGAAUCAUCCUAUCAACUUCAUCAAGAUAUGGUGUGUCCGCAUCUUUACACAGAGAUUUCUCUUUCCUCGAGUUGGAAGAUAUCUGACGCAAAUGCUCCUCAAAAUCCUGUUCUUCUCCGUUGCUGUGUACAUGAAAUUUUUCAAACUCAUCCAAAUAAAGAGUUUCCUCAGUUUUGUCCUCAUCCUCUUCAUCAGAGUCCAUUUCAAAAAUAUCUGAAAGAUCUUCCGAAUCUGAAAUGAUAUCUGAAUAUGUUGUGGACUCACCUUCUUCGCCUUUUUCAUCAUUUUCAUUCAUCAACUGUUUGAGCUUGUUUGAUGCCUCAGUUUGAAGGACUGAACGGUGUUCAGGGUUAGAAUUCUCAGAGCCAAGCAAGUGUUUUUCUUCAGGAGUACCACUUUUAUUUUCAGCCUGCAGUCGAAGCAGCUCAAGAUCCUGCUCAAGCCGCGGAAUGUAUCUCCUGACAGCUCUCAGGCCAUCUCGAUAUUUAGAUUUAUCCAAGGCCUGUAGACAAGGAGUAAUAACAAGAAAAACAGAAAGGAGGGGUUAGAGGCCGAUACAUAAACAGUUAAUGUUCAGAAAAUCCAGCAGAGGCAAACACUGCAAAAUUGCAUAAUAAAAAAAUAAUAGAUGCCUAUGUAGAACCUUUUUCCUAGAAAGAGUACUUCUUGGAGACAUUAUUUCUGUUGGAGGUUGGGAGUAAUUCUUCCCCCUGUACAUUAUAAUGGUGUUGUCAUCCUGCAUAUCAAGAACAAUUCCACCACUUAAUCUUGCAAGCUCUGCAGCAAUUUCCUUAACCUCCUCCCGAGAGAAUGUUUUGACCACCACUUUUAGAGUUUGGUGCUUCUUCCAGUGCAGGUGCAUGUUAAGGAUCACACCUUGGUAUAUCCCACGUCUUCCAACUGGCACAUAAUUCUUGCACUUCUCUCCCAUUUUCAGAAAGUAAAAGUGUUCUUCUGGAGUCAGUAUUUCCGGGUCAUGGGUAGCUUCUGACUUUUCCUUGGGCUCAACUUUCUUAAGAGCUUCAAGAAGCCUUUCCUCUUUCUUCCGUGCCUAAGAAGAUUAGAAUUGGCAACCUGGUAAGGACUUCAAUUGUAAUUAAGGGUACAUAUAUAACAAAGAGCAAGGUCCAUCACCUCCACAUCAUCAUGACAGUUAUAUUGUAUCACGAAAAACCAACAUGUAAUGAGUCAUAUAGUGGUUAAAUCUUUACCAUAUCCGCGAAAGAGAAGAAACUCGGAGUCAUAACAAAUACAGUUAUACCCUUGCAAAAGCUGAUAUUUUUAGUUGGACCGAAACCAUGCCAUACAUUUUCCAAUCAAUGUAAUAAUGGCAUCUUGCCUGGUGUCGAUGAAACCUAUCCCAUCCAAUAAUUAUCAAUAAAAGCGGACCUUAAUUGGCCACGAAACUCCUCUUGAUAUCAGAGACAUUUUUUUAUGGCGGUGGUAUUUGGACCGCUUGCACGCACCCGACUAAUUCCACUGGGCACCUGCACCUCCCACCAACAUGGGUAGCUCUACCUACCAAGGCUUGGAUAGAUCGGAAGAAAACACACUUUUUAUUCACCUAGUGUUACCUUACUCAAAAAAAGAAAUCACCUAGUGCCAUUGCCUCUGCUGAGAUUUGAACCUGAGACAGCGUAGUUCUCCCACUUCAUUUAUCACUAGGCCACACUCGUAGGCGCCAUUCUUUUCUUCUUCUUUUUUCCAAACAUUGAUUUUAAUAGAAAUUAAUUUGUCAAGCGUGAUUAUUCUCAGCCUAAACCACAGCGUCCACCAUUCAAAGAACUUUUACAUUUUUAUACGUGUUGUUUCAUUCCCCUUCCCCUGGUUUAAAGUAAUUGAUUGAUCUUAUUAAAUAAGCUUGACAUGGAUCACAUAAGAAUGGCUUACGAAAUUAUUGUAGGGACAAGGGACAAGAUGAAAACAGUUUACAUAGGCAAAUUGACCAUGUAGCUCAUAGUUCACACAAGACACUGCCUAUUGCCCAAGUUUCUGCUUAUGUUAUAGCAUUUUCCAGUGCGUUUGACUGCUCAAUUAGAUGUAACAAUGAAGUUUCCCUAUUAAAUAAUAAAUUUAUACUGUAAACCAGCAACCUUUUGGAGCAAUGUCAGGUUAUACCCUCAACUUAUCUCAACAAUAGGGAGGAUUUAAUUAUAAUUGUAGGGUGAUAUAGGUUUCAAAGAUAACAUGCGAGGUGGUAUAAUUUCAUGACUAAGACCAUAAACGGGGUCAUCGUCCUAGUCCGCCUAAGACUUCCCUAUGUGGAUUAGAGCACGACAUAACUCGAACAUUCAUUAAACAUAAACUAGAUUAAUACUGAAAGUCUUCGGUGGUGGUAUCAAGUGCUCGAUGAAAUAGCUGAGGUGCACUCAAGAUUGCCCCAGCACCACCGCUAUAAAAAUGUUAAUACUAAAAGUCCUCAUAUAAUUCAACCUCAAGAAUAAAAAUGUUAUACUAAAAGUCCUCAUAUAAUUCAACUAGCAGACAUGGAAACAACUGACUAAACUUGUAGCAACUCCCUGUGGAAGAUUGUCAUUUAACAAAACUAAUCUAAUACAUUGAAAGUUAAGUAUUUCUUUAAAUAAUUUUUGUAAAAUAGACUAAAUAACUAAAUUUAAAAAAAAAACUAUUGAAGAGUUUCUUCAUGAGAUUUGAAAAAAGAAUUCACUAACAAAAUAUUCUUUGAAACUAGUUUAGCAAAUUGUUAUUACAAUUUACUAGCGUAAAUAGGCCCAUGUGAGCAAGGGUUCAAAAAGCAUCAUUUCACCAUAAUAAAAUCAAAAGUUUAUUUCAUAAAAUCCCCUAUAAAAUAAAGUGUAAGAUUUAAUUUAAGAUGGCAACACCUAUUUGAAUAAAUCACCAUAUACGAAGAUAUCAACUACCUCGUAGAAGAAUAUUUUGCAUACAACAUUAUUCAAGACUUAAACUAGGCAUGAAAUUCAAACUUUCAAGUCUCAAACACUAACAAGAUAAGUCCCCAUUCUAAAGUGAAAAUCAAGAAGUAAACUUAAUACAUAAUAAGACUUGCAAUUGCAUACCCCUCAAAAUAGACAAACCGUUUACCAAAUCAAAUUAUAAUAUAAUAGCAUCGUGACCAACAAUCAUUCAAAACUACAAAUGUAAAUAUGUCAUAUGGAUCAUGUACAAGACUACAAGUCCCAAAUCUCUACAAUAAUAUAGAUGCUUAUGCAAAUAUGUUCUUCAUGAUAGCUUCAAGACUUCUAUGGCCACCCUAGAUUCUCUUAUGGUAUAUCAAGUACGAUAUCAACGAAUCAUCACUAAGUAUAAAGUUUAGUGGCACAUAAACUUUGGGUUUGAAGCCAUUAAAUUCUCUAAUUCUCAUCUAAAAUACAAAUAGAUCAUAUGAAACUUAGAUAUACAAAUUUAGCUAACCUUUCAUGUUAACAGCAAACUAGGUCUAAAAAAGAGUGCAUGAAAGAAAUUCAUAAAAUGAGUUUAUCAAAUCGUCAUCAAGUACUUAAUGAGAGUAUGAUGUUUAAAGUGAAUCAAAUAUCAAACCUAGUCCAGGAAAAAAAAAACAGUCCAAGAUACUAACAUUCAUAAUCUCAGGUGUCAAGAAAGCUCCCAAAGCUAAUUCAAGAAUUUGUUUUUUAUCAAAUAGUCAAAUUCGCCCAACACAUACGUCAUGCAACCACAUUAAUCAUAAUCGAAUAACACGAAGGACCGAGACCCCAAUCAAGUAUGGCCAAAACCAAUAAUCAAGAAAAUCAAGUACCAUAUUAAAAAUGGAUUUUCAUUCUUACUUAAAAUGAAGAAAGUCCAUAGCUAAGAUGAAAUGCAAAUCCAAAGCCAAGAUGGGGCGAGAUCACUAUAGAUUCUAGAGACAUGGAAAUAUAAGCGACAAAGACAAAGUCACUAUUACAAGGACAACGUCCCAACAAGAAUGUAAUAUUGUUCAACCAAUCUGUAAAUGUGGGAGAGUUAUUGAGUUAUACAAGCACUUCACUUACUACCGAUAAGAUUUUAACGUACUCAAAUAUACAAUUACACUCGAUUUGUGGGCGCUUCAGUGUCGCAUCAAGGUUCUAAGGCGUACUUUUCCUUACCAAUGAGUGUAAUCCUGAAAAGGCGAUACUAAAAAAUUGAUAUUUCACUUUAUCGUAAUUUUUUUUUAAUUUCUUUGUCCAUAUAUUUGUUAUUCAUGCUUAUAAUUAUUGUUCUAAGACAACAUAUACAUACUUUUACUUUUUCUCGAGUUGCGCCUUUUUUCAUUAAAGCUCACGCUUUAUUUGCGCUUCGCGAUUAAAGACCCAACGGACCUUAGAGCUUUUUAGCGUUUUUCGCCUUUGAUAACACUGAAUUUGCUUCAGAUAGGCAAAAAUCCUAUGUUGAUCUUAAGAGACGUGAAAUUGAGCAUCAAGUGGGUGAUAAAGUAUUUUGAAAGGGCAUUAACGUUGCAGGCCCUACUUUACCAAAAGUCAUCUUCUUCUUUUUCCUUUAUCAUAUCCUUCGUUAAAGAGCUCAACCAUACAAAUAUUGCUCUUGUUCUCAUUAAAAACAAAACUUUAUUGCAAAAAAUCCACUCUCUACCUCUUGAAAGAUAAACUGAAAUUUGUUUUCAAAAAUCAACAUGAGUAAAAGGAUUAAUUUGAAGCAUUAGGUUUUAGUUAGAGAGAGACUUCUUUUAUCUGUGGUAUGCUUCUCGCUCAAUAUAUGUUAGUGAAAUAGUUAAUAUUUUGGUUAGUGAAUUUGAGAUCUUAAAAACUAAGAAUUUAAUCUCGUUCUUGAACUAUAUAACAUUUGGUAUUUGAGCAAAAUUUCUUUCUAGAACUCGGAUUGAGGUGAUUCAAAAUUCUAUAGAAAGCUAAGAGAUUAACCUACAACUUUUAUGAAGAUAAAAAAUCUAUCUCUGUUGUUUCCUGCAUAAAUAUGAGCCGCAAUACAGAGCGUAGGUGCUGCCCAGAUUUUCUUCUUUUAAGAAAUAGGAAGAGUUCUGACCAAUUAGGCCCCCUUCUGAUACUCAUCAUGACUUGUCUUAAAUACCUUUAAAUUUCAAACCUUAAGUGAGCAUUCGAUUAUGUAUUUAAGGUACAAGAGAUACUUGUACAAGCUAAGGAGAAUUCUUUAAAAAGGUCGACAAAAUCACUUGAUUCUUGGCUUAGAGGAUCUAUACUUCCUUGAUGUUUGGUUGAGCUUUAGGAACACUAAGCGUGUGUUUGGUAUGAAGGAAAACAUUUUCCGAUGAAGGAAAACAAUUUUCGAAAAAUGUUUUCCAAUUUUCCUAUGUUUGGUUGGCUUAAAUGUUUUGGAAAACAUUUUCCUCAUCAACUCUAAAAUAUUUUUCCUAUCAAAAGAAGGGAAAACAUUUUCCAAAACUCUUUUUCAACAUUCUCCACCAUAUUUCCCACCCUCCCACCACCCCACCCCCAUCCACCCCACCCCCAAACCAUCCCAACCCCCUACCCCCGACCACACCCCACUCACCCCAACCUCGCCCACCACCCACCCUAAAUAGAACUAUUAUUAAGAGUGCUUUUCAUGUUGUAGAUAGAGUACUUUUUUUAUUUUAACAAAUAUACUAGUAAAAAUAUUUUCUUUCAUUUCAACAAAACGAGUACUUUUUUUUUCAUGAUGUAGAAAAAGUAUUUUCUUUCAUUUCAACAAACUAAAUAUUUUCUUUUCCUGAUGUAGAACAAAUAUUUUCUUUCAUUUUAACAAAACAAGUACUUUCUUUUCAUGAUGGAGAAAAAAUAUUUUCUCAUUUCAACAAACUAAUUAUUUUCUUUUCAUGAUGUAGAAAAAAAUAUUUUCUAGUAUUCAACAAAAUGAGUAAUUUCUGUUCAUGUUGUAGAAAAGAUACUUUCUUUUUCAACAAAAUAAAGUAUUUUCUUUUUAGUUAUCGAGCUCAAAUUUUAAUGUUGUUUUUGUGUGAAAAAGUAAAGUAGCACAUUAGUUCCUUUGGGUUUGUGUGAAUUUUGAAAAGAAUAAUUAAAUUUUUGAAGAAAAUAGAGCCCAGGAGAGGGGGGAGGAGUUCAGGAAACAUGGGGAUUCUGGGUAAGGUGGGUUGAGGAGAGUAGCAUAAAAAAUUAUUUUUCUAAAAAUAUUUUAUACUCUCUAACCAAACACUAUAAAAUAUUUUCCGGAAAAAGUUUUUCACUCACCAACCAAACAAGGGGAAAUAAGUGAUAAAACGACUCAUUUUCCGGGAAAACAUUUUCUAGAAAAACAUUUUACAUGAAAAACAUUUCCCUUCAUACCAAACACACCCUAAGUCUGCAAGGUUUGCACAUAAACUAGAAUUUUCCAUUUAAUUUAUUUUGUCGGAGUAUUUUGAAUAGUUUUACCCUUGGUAAAAUUUGUCUUUACUUUGAGUUGUUGUAUCAGUUUGUUGCUACUUUAGUACCCUACUUGCUAUGUUUAAUUAUGAAAGCAUGGUUUGAAACACUUCCAUAAUUUGGCUACCAUUGAGAGUACAAUUGUAUAGUUAAGUUAAGUAUACGUUAAAAUCGUGUUGGUAUCAUGUAAAGUACUUUUGUUAGAUAAUCUAACUGCCUACAUAUACGGAUUGCUUGAGCAUUGUUGCAUUCUUUUUGGGACUUUGUUCUUCUUGUGAUAGUGACGUUGUCGCUUAUAUUGGCAUGUCUCUUGAUACUAUAUGAAUCUUUCUCCAUUUUGACUUUAGAUUUGGAUUUCAUCUUUUUAAACAUGGUACUUGAUUCUUUAGAUUAUUAGGUAUUGACCCUACUUGAUUCGCGGCCUCAUUGUUUCUUGUUAUCCGAUUAUGCUUGAUGUGAUUGCAUGACGUAUGCGUUGGGCGAAUUUGACUAUUUGCUAGAUUUUUUCUUGAAUUAGCUUUGAGAGUUUUCUUGACAAUUGAAAUUAUAAAUAUAAAACUACUUCAUGGUUUAAUAUCUGAUUCUCUUUAAACAUCGUACUCUUAUUAAGUACGUAAUGAUGAUUUAAACACAUUAUAUGAAUUUCUUCUUGUUACUCUUUUUGAUACAUAGCUUAUUUGUUAACAUGAAAGUUUAGCUAAAUUUGUAUGGUCAAAUUAGUUUGUAUAUUCAAGUUUGUUAUGAGCUAUUUAUAUUUUAAAUGAGAAUUGGAAAAUUUAGUGGCUCCAAACCCGAAGUUUAAGUGUCACUAAGUUUUAUAAUUUUUUUUAAUAACUGUGGUGUCUAGGCCAACUUGCGCGUACCUCGACUAAUCUCACGGGAUACUUUCUACUUCCCGCCAACAACAGGUACCGGUAACUCUAUCCACCAACGCUUGAACAGAUGGGAAGAAAUCACCUAGUGAUUUUUUGUCUCCUCUAGGAUUUGAACCUGGGACCUUAUGGUUCUCAACUCACUUCAUUGACCACUAGGCCACACCCUUAGGUGUACACUAAGUUUUAUACUUAGCAAUAGUUUGUUGCUAUCAUAGGUGAUGUACUGGAAGAGAAUUGAGGAUGGCAAUUCAAAACAGACUUUUAGAAGCUAUCAUGAAGAUCACAUUUGCAGCAUCUAUAUUUUUGUUGAGAUUUGGGACUUGUACACGAUUUAUAUGACACUUUCAAAUGUAAUUUUGAAUGAUGGUUGGUCAUGGUGUUAUUAUUUUAUAACUUGAAUUUGGUAACUGAUUUGGCUAUUUUUGGGGUGUCCAGGCCAAAGUCUUGUUAUGUACUUGAUUUGCACUCUGGGAACAAAUAGGGACUUAACUAGUUAAUAUUAAAGACUUGAAAGUUUGGAUUUCAUGUCCAGUUUAAGUCUUGAAUGAUGUUGCAUGCAUAAUAUUCUUUUAUUAGGUACUUGAUAUAUUCAUAUAGUGCUCUAUUCAAACAAGUGUUUCCAUUUCAAAAAAUCUUACAAUUUAUUGUAUAUGAAAUUUUACGAAAUAAACUUUUAAUUUUAGUAUGAUGAAAUGUUGCACCUUUUAGAACCCUUGAUCACAUGGGCCUAUUAGUUUCAUAUUUGUUAGUACACUUGAACUAUUUUUCUUAAAUCUCAUGAAUAAAUUAUUAAAUAAUUUUUCAAUAUAGUUAGUGUGCAAAUUUAGAUACAACUACAUAAAUACAUAACUUUCAAAUUUUAAAAAUAUCACAAUAUGACACUCGAGACUACCAAUUUGGGAAUGGAAAGAGUACUAGGAUAGCACAUAUAAGCACAGACAUUUAGGUAGAUAACAAGUCUCUUUUCACAGAUUGCCCUAGAGUAAACAAGGAUCAAGAGAUGGCAUAAAAGGGUCAAAGGGGCACAUGAGGUUAGAAUUUCAAACAUUUGAAGCCACCAUAGUACUUUAUGAUUGAUAUUUCAAACACUUUUUUAUACUAGUGAUAUGUAGCAAUCUCCCAGUUUCAGUUUAUGUGAUAUAUUUUUCCUUUUAACCUGUCCCAAAAGAAUAUUAUAUUUUCUUAUUCAGAAAUAACUUAACUUUAAACUUUUUAUUUUUUCAUUAAGAUGAUUUAUACAAAUUUAUUAGCUUAUUUUAGACGACAAAUUUCAAAAGUUUUUACUUUCUUUCUUAAACUCAGCACAGCCGCAUAAAUUGGAACUAAAGCCCCGGAGAGAACCAGCAAGAAGUAGAUGAGUCUUGAUAUCUUACACAUUUUUCUAGAAAGCUUCCUACUUGUACUACACAAAGUAAAGAAGAUUUACCUUGCUCAAUUUGUAAAGAAUUUUGUUUUCUGCAGUCAUUCUUUGGAAAUCUUUCUUCUUCUUCCACCUGAAGAACUUUAACCACCUUACGACCUCUCUUUUGCCCUUCAAUUUCUUCCUUUUGAUUUUACCUUCUCCAGAACUCUCUUCAACAGCAGCAGCUGAUUCCAGAGCUUUGCCAACCGUACAGAAACCUCGACCCAAAUAUACGCAUCCAAGAUCACAUUUGGGUGCUCUUAUGUGUGACCCAACAGCGACUCCUCCAAGAAAAACCUUGCAUUUUGCAGUAAAAGGACUACUAAACUAUGGGAUUUUUGCAAAAUUAUUUGUGUCUAUGUAUGUAUAUUUGGAAAGAGAGAUAAAAUUAAUAUACCUGGUUCUUUGUUGGGAUAAGAGAGGUUGAAAGAUGAAGGGAUUGGAAAAGAGAUGUUUGAGCUGCCGUGAUUUGCAGAUAAUCCCCGGUAACAAACUUCUUCCCACCAUUUUCACCGUUCUUUCUGCUCUUCGGCGGGAACCAGAAAACCGGAGUUGCGUUUUCCAGAUACUUCAAUGGGCUUCUGUUAAUGAGUGUGGGUUUUUCUGAUAAUGGGGUAGAAAUCCCACCAGAGUCACUCUAAUAGGCUGGUAUUUAAAAAGGAUAAUCUAGUGUUCUACCUAUUAAAAACAUCAAUUAACUCCCUAUACUUUCAAAAUAUUUAUUUUACAUUCUAUACCUACUUUAUAAAAUUAUAUUUACUUCUUAAAUCUUUAAUACUAUUUUAUACCUUUACACAUAUCCCAGGACUAGAUUAUCUUUCACUCCAACUUAAUAAAUUUCUUAAAACACUCCAUCAUCCCACAGAAUUAGGAUUAUACAUUUUUAUUAAAAAAAUUCGAACCCUAAUAAUUUCUCUUGUUCUAAAUAAACAACCCUUUCUAUUCUUUUCUAUGACAUGGGGAUGCAGAAGGAAGAAGAAUAUUAAAAUGGAGCAUUUAUUAUGUACAAGGAAUUACCUCUUUAUCAUUUAUUUGUCAGAUGAAGUGUUUCAUCUUUUUUGUUUUUCUCUUCUAUCUAUGUAAUCAAAAGAAAAGUUAAAAUAACGUAUAAAUAUUUUAAUUUGGGAUACGGUAUCUAAACUAAAAAAAAUAUUAGAAUGUACUAGUAUUCAAACUAAUAUAUACACCACAAUAUUCUAAUGAAAAAUGUAAUAUUCAAAUCAAACAUGUCAUAAUAUUCAAAUAAUGUGGGAUAUAUUAUCCAAACCAAAUUAAACGUAACAAAUUACAAUAGAUUAAUGAAGAAUAUAGUAUUCAAACCAUCAUACCAUAAUAUUCUAAUAAAGAAUACAAUAUUCAAAAUCAAACAUAUCACAAUAUUCUAAUUUGGAAUAUAGUAUUCAAACCAAAUAUACCACAAUAUUCUAAUUUGAAAUAUAGUAUUCAACUAAAUAUAACGCAAUAUUCUAAUUUGGAAUACAGUAUUCAAAUCAAACAUACUUUUAUUUUUAUUUAUUGUGUAUAUAUUGUUUUACUUGGAAUAUUAACAUACUUUAAUAGUAUACAAUGACUAGUUUAUUGUAUAAUUUUUUAUUGUAUACAAGAAAAUACGGACAAAGGUUCCCAUAAUUAAAAAUAAAAAAAUUUAAUGGAUAAUAUUUUUUUAUUCUUUCAUUUUAUGUCCAAGUUUAAAAUGGAUGUAGUAAGAUUUUGGAUUUGCUUCAUAUAUAUAAUUUCCUUUAAUUUAGGCGACAAAUUUGUUAGGUAGUUAUUGCCCUUUGACUAAUUGAAUAUGUGGAGUAAUCAAUUAAUGUGUACUACAUGUAAUUUUAUAAUUAAAAGGUAUAGUGUUAAGGGUUCUUUAGAGGGGGUAUACCGUGUAAAGUUUCCUAAAAAAAAAUGGAAAACUAGUGGCUAUGUCCAUUUAUAAGUAAUUCAUUACAAAAAUUGGUCAAUUCAUUAAAUAUUAUUAAUAUAGUCAAAUGUUAUCAAUAUUAGUCAAUUAGCUAUUUGUAGCAAAAGAAAAAGGUCAAAUCUUUGCUUUCUUUUGAGUGGGUGUUAUUAGAAUAGAUUGGGUACAUCUUAAGAAAUUUGAAUCUCAGUUUUGUGAUGAUUUGACGGAGUUUUGAGGUAGUUUCAAUUCAAAAUUCGAAGUAGAAGAUGAAACAUGAAAAAAGAAUAUAUGUAUCACACUGUGUAUCAUUUGUGUAUCACAUAUGUACCAUAUUUAUAUCAGAUGUGUAUCACAUAUAUACCUGUAUGUGUGAUACAUGCAUGAUAUAUGUUUGAUACAUGUGUAGCAGUCUCGCAGAAGAAUUUUUCGAACUCAAUUUUAACUACAAAUUUUGACACCAAAUCAAUUCAAAUCACCUCCAAUCUUCCUCAAAAUUUCUAUGUUGAUUCAUCUAUAUGUUUUCAAUGAAUUUCAACCAUACCCAUUGAAAAAUGUCCUUUUUUGUUUAGAUUUUUGAAAUUUUGUAUAUAUGUUUUUUGUAUUUUAUCAUCUUGUUUGCUACCUCAUCCAUGAAAUUUUCUUUCUGUCGUGCAUCUGAUGUUGCUUAUCGCGCUUAAAAUAUGAAAAGAGAUCUUUGCGUGUAAUUCUUGGAGAGAAAGAACCUUAUUUAUUAUUUGAAUUUUUGAAUUUUUACAUAUGCUUGGCUAGUUUUGAUAAAUUUAUAAUUAGUGGCUAGAGGUUGGUAAAUAGUACGCAUUUGUGACAUUUACGUAAGAUUUUCUUUAAAAAUGCGCCUAGGAAACCACACACGGCCCAUUAUGAUUAUUUUUGAGUGAAACAAAGAAAAUUGUCUUCAUUAUUGCCCUCCACAUUUUAAUCAAUGUGUCAUACUUUUUUUCUUUAAGUUGUUUAAAAAAUAUAAUAACCUUAUACAUUUAGUAAAUUUUUAAUUUAACAUUUUAAUUUUAUCUUUAAUAUCAAUCUCUUAUAUACAUGGCAUAACAUGUUUGAGACCGAAAAUUCAAAGGUUAAUUUUAGUAUGUUAUAUGUGUAUGGGGUAAAAUUGGUUGAUAACAAGUGGUCGAAUGGUAAGAUGAUACUUGAAGUCGAAGAUAGACAAAUGACAAGUCGGGAAACGAUUAAUAUCGAAUGUGACGUGUGUGACCGGUAUCGGAUGGAUUUGGAAGGGAAUGUAGCCGCGGUAGAAGUUCACAGAUUCACCAUCGGACAACAUUUAAUGAGGGAAUAUUUUCUAGCAUUAAAUAAGCAGACGUUACAAAGAAUAUUUGCAUUCAAGACUUGUUGUUACAUAUUCAUCAAUGACACUUUUAUUCUCAUUUAUAUAGGAGCUUGAUCCUAGGAUCUUGUUUCCCUAGGUAGAAUUAUAAUUAGUGGGGUUAACACCAUUGUAAGGACACGAAACACUCUCUAUGCAAAAGCCAUACUUUACUAUUUUGCUCUCAACUUUACUAUUCAGUUCUCACUUUAACAGCUUCAUCGUUGCUUUAUCUCUACUUUCACUUUUGUUCUCGGAAAGGCUGAGUUCGGAACCAGGCUUGUUAUCUUCUUUAAUUUCAAUCGCUAAAUCUUAACUUCAAUCUUAUUUUUUUUAUCGUUUUGGGGUCAAAUCAAUUCGCUUGUCUAUAAACCACGUUACAAAUUUAAUUUUACCAUUUUACGGGUAAACAGUUUGGCGCCCACCAUGGGGAAUAGAAAUUUGUGUAAUUGCUUUGAUCCAUACAUUUAUUGCUAACAAGUUUCAGUUCUUUCCUUAGUAAAAAUCACAUAUGGUAGCUAGCGAUGUCAACAACACAUACAACGUUGAAGCACGCAUUGAACAGGAAGAAUCGUCCCAGCAUGAUGACUUAAUAAGUGACACCCGUAACGAAGGUGACGAAAUAACCCUGAUUCUCUAAGGUCAGAUCCUCGGCAUGUGUGAGACCCAACUCUUGAUCAUGUGGAGGAGGAACAUGUCAUAGAGACGGUCAAACUCCUGAGGUAACAACAGAAAACAAUCAUAGAUCAUCUCUCAAGGCAGGUUCAGGUGAUGACAGAGUUAAAACAAGCAUUGACAGGUGCUUCCAACAACGUGAACGUAAGGGGACCAAUCCUUGCCAGUGUUCCCAUAAAUCAAACGGAUGAGAGAAUCGAUAACAACACCCCCAAGGGGCGAAGUCGGUUUUGACGAAGCCGGAGGGAUCGGUAGCGGAUCUGGGAACAACAAUGGAAGCGAUCCUUUCAAAACCGAGCUCAUGAGGUUCAUGAGAGAAAUGAACAAAUGAAUGGAUCAGAAUGCGAAAGAAGUUUCUCGCUCGAACGGAUCAAAUUUCGGGCGCACCACCAGUGUUAAAGGGUCCGAAUUCAAAAAAGUACACACAGUUGCCGUUUAAGCCAAGUGCAGCACCAGAGUUAAUUCUGAAAAAAUUCAAAAUGCCGGACAUACCAAAGUAUGAUGGGACUUCGGAUCCACAGGAGCACAUCACAACCUAUACCACAGCUAUGAAAGGAAACGAGUUGGCUCAACAUGAGAUCGAUUCGGUUUUGUUGAAGAAGUUUGGUGAAACCCUCACAAAGGGGGACCUGACACGGUACUCUAUUUUACCCGAGCAUUUAAUUGAUUCUUUUGAAAUGCUUGCAUACUCAUUCAUUAAGGCCCAUAACAGAACAAGACAGGUUCAGGCUAGAAAGGCAUACAUUUUCAGAAUUGCGCAAGGGGAAUCCGAAUUGAUGCGAGAAUUUAUGAUCUGAUUCCAGAAAGAAAGGAUGUUGCAAUCGGCAGUUCUAGAUGAGUGGGCAGCGGAGGCAUUCACAAAGGGUCUAAAUUCACUGAGUUCUGAUGCCUCUCGGAAACUGAAGGAGAGCCUUCUCUAGUUUCAGGUAACCACAUGGGCAGAUGUCCAUACCGUUAUGAGUCAAUAAUAAGGAUAAAAGACGAUCAACUUGGGUCUUCGGUAUCGACUAAGGGACGGGGUCGAGACAAAAGCCAGGACAAGUUUAAGAGCGAUUUCAAUGCAGACCGGCGGACCUCUAGAGGUUAUUUUCUACCGUACGAGAGGACUGAUGGGCGUAGCAGCAAAGGGUUUCAGACAUCAUAUAGGGUCGUUCCCGAUAGAAGAGUCGAUCGUGGCCGGAACAACGGGUCGUUGCGAGAGAAAGAGGUGCCACGGGCCCGAGUCUCCGCAUAUCCCAGGUUAUCGGAUUACAACUUCAAAAUCAGCCUAGUAGAGUUGGUAUUGGCGAUGAGAAAUGUCAAAGAAGCAUGGUUCUCGAAGACAAUCCACUAAGAUCCUAGCUAGAGGGAUCCUAAUUUAUGGUGUGAAUACCAUGGAACUCACGGCCACAGAACUGGGGACUGCCGACAUCUUCGCGAAGAGGUGGCGAUAUUGUUGAAGAAUGGACAUCUCAGUGAGUUUUUAAGCGACUGAGCCAAGAACAACUACGGCCGAAGCUGGGACAAUGCAGAGCCUUCGAAGGUAGCAGAAGGGUCACCUCAGAUGACUAUCAACAUAAUCUUCGGAGAAUACGAAGUCAAUGGUGUAACCUUUUCAACAGCGAAGAAAACAAAGAUAUUGGUGACUCACAAUAAUAGAUUCCAGGAAGUCGCAAAAGAUGAUAUCACCUUCACGGAUGAGGAUGCUAACAGACUUCUUCUGCCAUACAAUGAUGCUUUGGUAAUCUCUUUCAAUGUUUUAGAUUUCAAAAUUAAUCGUAUUUUGGUUGACCCACGAAGUGCAUCCAACACAAUACAAUGGAGAGUUUUGGAGCAAGCAAAGUUAAUCGGGAACAUCGUUCUGGCGAUAAAACUCUUAGGUGGCUUCAACUUGACAAGCGCGACAACCCGAAGAGAUAUUUUUAUUCCCACACACGUCGAAGGAGUAACGAAGACUACUCUAUUCGAAGUGGUGGAUGACGAUAUGGGUUACAAUAUAAUCCUCGGAAGGCCAUGGAUAUACGAGAUAAAGUUGUACCUUCAACAUAUCACCAACUGUUAAAAUUUUUGAUGUCGGAGGGAAUCAAGAAAAUAAGAGGAAACCAGCCGGCAAAGAGGGAAAUGAACGCGGUGACUGUUUCUAGUAGCAAGGGAAAGAGUCCAACAAAUAGCAAUUAUAGGAUCCAAUUCCUUCUCCCUUUUUGAAUGAAGAUCAUAAGAGCGAGGAGUCAUCAGAAUCCUAUCAGGUUCUGAGACACUUUCAGCUACCAAAGGAGACGGAUACGACCAAGUCGACCGCAGAAGAACUUGAGCAAGUGGCCUUGUUCGAAGAGUUUUUGGAAAGGAAGUUUCAUCUGGGAACAUGGUUAAAUCCUGAGCUCAGGUUAGAAUUUAUAAAUUUUCUUAAAGCUAACGUUGACUGCUUUACAUGGUCCUACUUAGAUAUGACAGGUACCCAAUUAGAGGUAGCGGUCCAUAAUCUAAAUCUAGAUCCAAACUUUCCACCGGUAAGACAAAAGAAACGUCUCAUAGUGGAGGUCAGGAACAUGUUUGUUAAAGAAUAGGUAACCCAGCUACUAAAUAUCAGUUCAAUCCGGGAGGUAAAGUAUCCAGAAUGGUUAGCCAAUGUAGUUGUAGUACCAAAAAGAAUUACAAAUUUAGGAUGUGCGUAGACUAUAAAGAUUUAAAUAAGGCGUGUCCUAAAGACUCGUUUUCGCUGCUAAACAUUGAUCAAAUGAUUAAUGCGACGGCCGGAUACGAUCUAAUGAGUUUCCUUGAUGCUUACUCUGGGUACAAUAAAAUCAAGAUGAAUCUGAAGGAUCAUGAAAAAACUUCUUUCAUAACAAACUUUGGCACAUAUUGCUAUAAUGUUAUGCCUUUGGGGCUUAAGAAUGCCGGAGCCACUUAUCAUAGGCUUGUUAAUAAAAUGUUUGAGGGUCAGGUAGGCAAAACAAUGGAAGUAUAUAUUGACGACAUGUUAGUCAAGUUUUUAAAUGCAUGAGAUCACUUGAAACACAUCCAAGAGACUCUCGACCUUCUGAGGAAGCAUAACAUAAAACUCAACCCGGAGAAAUGCGCAUUCGGGGUUGGUUCCGAUAAGUUCUUGGGGUUCCUGGUCUCGCAAAGAGGGAUCAAGGUAAAUCCCGACAAAAUCAAAGUUAUCGAGGACAUUCCAGACCAAUUGACAAGUGUGAAGGAAGUACAGAGGUUGACCGGAAGGUUGGCGUCUCUAAGAAGAUUCAUCUCAAGAUCCUCGGAGAAGUGCCAUCACUUCUUUUCACUUUUGAAAAAGAAGAACAAUUUCGAAUGGACUCCGGAAUGUCAACAGGCAUUGAAAGACCUAAAAAGGUACCUGUCCAGCCCCCCGUUACUGUCAAAACCAGGGGAAGGCGAGCAGUUGUUAAUAUAUCUAGCGAUCUUGGAAGUAGCCAAAAGUGCCAUAUUGGUCCGAGAGGAGGAAGGUACGCAAUUUCCUAUUUACUACGUUAGUAAAAUAUUUUCGGGAGCAGAGACUCAUUAUCCGUACCUCGAAAAGUUGGCCUUAGAUCUCGUAGUUGCCUCUCGAAAGCUUAUGCCUUAUUUCAGUGCCACACAAUAGUCGUUGUGACAACCUUUCCCUUAAGGAACGUCCUUCACAAGCCUGAGUUGUCAGGCCAUUUAGCUAAAUGGGCAGUCGAAAUUAGCGAUUCGACAUUGAGUACAAACCAAGGAAUGCAAUCAAGUCGCAAGUUUUGGCCGACUUUGUGGCUGAUUUUAGUCCUGGGUUAAUGCCCUUGGAUGUUAAGGAAGAAGUGCUGGUGUCAAAACGGUAUCGGGUUUGGACCUUGUUUACAGAUGGGGCUUCCAAUGUAAGAGGGUCCGGUCUCGGGAUAGUUCUAAUCACACCCUUGAGGGAAACCUUGAGGUAGGCAUUAAAAUUGUUCCGUUAACUAAUAAUGAAGCCGAGUAUUGUUGCAGGACUAGAACUAGUCCGGGGACUAGGCUCUAAGGUCAUCGAAGUGAAAUACGUCUCCAGUUGGUAGUAAACCAAGUGUGUGGGAUUUUCGACACAAAGGAAGAACGCAUGCAACAAUAUUUGAACAAGGUUCAGGCUUUGCUUGCACGAUUCAGGGAAUGGUCAAUCAUCCACAUUCCAAGGGAAGAAAAUGUGGAAGCAGAUGCAUUGGCUAAUUUGGGGUCAUCCACGAAAAUGAAAGGAUCUGAUUCUGGUACAGUCGUCCAACUUUUACAUUCGGUGUUGGGCGUGGAUGUCUACUGCGAGGUAAAUGCGACCAACUUGGUUUGGGAUUGGAGGAACGAGUUUAUCGAGUAUCUCCGCCAUGGUAAAUUACCCAAGGACUCAAAGGCGUUUCGGGAACUACGGACUAAAGCAGCUCGUUACUGCCUCGUGGAUGGGCAGUUAUACAGGAGCUCAUUUCAAGGACUGUGGGCCCGGUGUCUAGGGGCCUCAGAGGUGGACUAUGUGAUGAGGGAAUUCCACAAAGGAGUUUGCGGGAAUCAUUCCGGUCGAGACUCGUUAGUUGCCCUGGAUGGAACAUGACGCAAAGGCAUUCGUUCAAAAAUAUGACAAAUGCCAGCGUCAUGAGCAGUUGGUGCAUCAACCGGCAGAACUUUUACAGUCGAUGUUGUCCCCGUGGCCAUUCAUGACGGACGGACGAACAUAGUUGGUCCUCAUCCACCGGGCCCCGAAAAAGGUAUGAUUUUUUUAGUUUUAACUGAUUACUUCACCAAAUAGGUUGAAGCAGGUCCUUACCAACAUAUCGAUGAACGCAAAGUAGUCGACUUCAUAUAGGACCACAUAAUCUACCAAUUUGGAAUACCGAAGGAAAUCGCUUGUGACAACGGGCCACAGUUCAUAGGUUCAAAUGUCACAAAGUCUUUGGAAGGGUUAAAAAUCAAAAGAAUUACAUCUUCAUUGUACCACCCAAGUGCUAACGGAUGAUGGUAGGCUAUCAACUCGUAUUUUAGUCGCUUAUUACACUCCAAUUUACUGCACUUUAAUUGAGUUUGAGCUUUAAUCGCUAGUGUUUUGCACUAAUUGUGUGUUUUAUGCCUUGUAUGAGUGAUUCCGAGAUAUGUAGAUGUUAUGGAAUGAAUUCGAGUAAUUUGGAGCUUUGAAGUCUGAGUAAAAGCCUAAGGGAAUAAGCCAGGAUCGCGUUCGGGGGUAGAACCACGUCGGGAUAGCUAAAAAGCAAGAAAAAUCAGUACUUAGAGAAAGUCCUACAGCCGCGGCGCGUGGGACAGCGCAUGGCGCGCCGCGGCUGCACAAUUUCCCUGAAGCCUAUUAGAACAAGCUCUCUGAAGUUUCCCACAAUCUCCCCGCAUGGCGCGUCGCCCCAUGCGGCACGCCUGUGCAAUUUUUACAGAGUUAUUAUCCUAGUUCAUGUAGGAAAAGGUGUUCUCGUCUGGGCCCGACCCUACCUAGUAUAAAUACAUGUAAAAAUAUUAUUUUAGGGACUUUUGACACAUCUAAGACCUAAAUAGGCUAGAGAGAAGGUGGAGGAGCGAAAGCACAAGGGAUUCAUCAUUUAAUCCUCACUCAAGACAAGAGUUUGGAUCAUUUUAUGUUUUUCUUUAUAUUUGUGAUGAAUUACUCCAUAUCUAUGGAGUAGUUCUCUUUAGUGAUUGAUGGAUUUGGUGUAUUGAUAUUUGUUUGUGGAUAAUAACUCUAGUUUUUAUGUAUUGAAUCGUUUUGGAUGUUUUAUAUAGUUGCAUCUAUAUUCACAUGUUCAUGUAAUCAAGAGAGGCAUAACUUGUGAUAUCUUUGCAUUAUCUUGUUGGUUGAAUUCAUUAAUUCUUCUUAGUAAUCGAAAGAGGCUAGUUGAAUUGUUUAUUAAACCAAGUUAGGAGGAUAAUCGAGAGAGGUUUUCCUAAAGACCAAUCCACUACGAACUCUUGCAUAUCUUCACCGAGCUUAAAUUGGUUCACAUUGUGAGGUUGAGACUUAAUCGAGAGAAUAGUUUCUACUAAACGUUUGAACUAAUAAUUGAGUGAAUUUGAGAGACUCACUUGAACAUUAGAAGUGAAUUAAAUAGAGUUAAAUCCCAGACAAUUAUCUUGCACCUAUCCAAUCAAUCCCUAUUUUCUUCCAUUGAUAUCUUCUUUGCUUACUUUUGUUUCGAUUGUCAUAGUCAAUUAGCUCUAGAUUCUUAGUUAAUUUUAGUUUUAAUCACAUAAUUCCCAACUAUUGAUCAUCUUGGAUAGCAACCAAGCUAUAAACUAUGAAAAUAUUAUUUAACUCCAAUCCCUAUGGAUAGGAUAUUAUAUUAUACUAUAUUCGACUAGCGAGCAUAUUUAAGUGCGUAUUUUGUGCUGGUCAACGGACAAGCGGAAUCAACCAACAAGGUAAUUAUUCAAAACCUUAGGAAGAAGUUAGAAGGUGCUAAGGGCAAGUGGUUCGAUGAGCUACCGGGGGUAAUAUAGGAAUAUCAGACAAAAGCGAAGUCGAGCACGGGAGAAACACCCUUCUCACUCGUGUACGCUGCGGAGUCUCUAAUACUAGUAGAAGUGAGGGAGCCAACUUUAAGGUUUUCCCGAACAAACGAAGAGGCAAAAAAUGAAGCGUUGUUAGUAAAGCUGGACUUGCUCAACGAACACAUGGACUUGGCGUACGUAAGGAUGGUGGAUCAAAAGCAAAGGAUAAAAAGAUAUCAUAAUCGCAGGGCCAAUCUCCGCUAUUUCAAAGUAGGAGAUUUGGUUUUGAGGAAGGUGACUCAAAGCACUCAAGAAGUCAACGCUGGGAAGCUGGGACCAACAUGGGAAGGUCCUUACCGGGUUUCAGCUAUCACCGAUAAGAGAUCAUAUGAGUUGAAAAAUCAAGAUGGAGUUAAAUUACCCAGCAAUUGGAACGUGAAUUAGCUCAAAAGGUAUUAUUGCUAAUGGAUCCUGCCAGUACAAAAAGUAUGUGAUGUACUUUUUUUUCCCUUCGAUAAGUUUUUGUCCCAAUCGGAUUUUUCUGGCAAGUUUUUAACGAGGCAGCAACGGAAAGCAUACUACGAAGGAAGCGUCAUUGGUGAAGGAAAGACCUGUAAAUAUCAUAGCACUGAAAUUUUCAUUAUUAAAAAAGGAUUAUUUAACUAUUAACAAGUUGUUUCCACCAGUGAAGCUGCAAUCUGGGUACAAGAAUUCCAGUGCUCGAAUUCGCAUGCUUCGUAUUUGAACACUGGGGGGAAUAAAUAUCUGAUACGGCACUAGAAAUGCCACGAAAGCCUGGACUGCGAGAACCGGGAUCAAUAUUUUAUCAGGACCGGAGACUACAUGAUCAACCCCGUAGAAAUAAGUUGUACAAGUUAGCCACAUGUAUUGGCAGCUUUAUUUACUUAAGCAAACGAAUGCCUAUGUACUUUUAAAAAUAGAGGGAAUAAAACAAAGUUCUUUUAUUUUUAUCUUGAUUCUUAUCCAAAUGAUGAGUUAAUUUUAUCGCUAGAAAGUUAACAAAAACUUCAAAUGCUUGUGCUAGAAUGAACAUGAUACUUCCUCUUUAAGAGCACCAUAAACAUAAGGUCCCUCUCUUAUGAGACCCUCAUAGUAAAGGGAAGGUUCCGGAAGAAUUUAUGCCCGGAAUCAAAAGCUAUGGGUUGAAAAAAUAUACCUGAAGCUUUAAUCAACUAAACAUAAAAGGAAUAUUUUUGCACAACACUUAAGCAAAUUUUUUUUUUAUUAUCAGGUACUGAACUUGAUGAAAAGUUUGGCAUAAUUACAAAAUAUAAAAACAUUAUACAUCAUUGCCGCUAGAACCCGAAGGAAGAGAAGGAUCUACGUUUCCCCUGUAGAGGAAGGCGGAUUCACCAACGCUUCAGGGCCUUCAUCUUCUUCAGUCUCCCUUUCGUUUUCCGAAUACACGGAAUCAUUAUUUGAGGAGUCAGUCACAGUGGGCCGAGCAGGAAGUUUUCACGAGCGGAUAACUCCAGUUCCUGGGCCUGGGCAAUGCAAUCGUUUAUGUUGGCGAUGACCACUUUGGCCUCCUCCAAGGUCUUCAUCUUCAUAUGAUAUAUGGCAUAGGUCUUCUCGAAGACAAGGGAAUCCUCUUGAACUUGGAGUUUUGCUCGAAGUUUAUUGUUUUCGGCCUGGAGCUCUUCUCUUUCGGACUUCAUGGCAUGGAGGCGGGAGUCAAGCUCAACAUUUGUAGUUGAGUGAAGCCAAUUUUGCUCCAUGGCCCUCUUAAGCCUCUCUUCCAUUCGGGCACUCUUCUUCUCGGCAGCAUUGGCCUCCUCGGUUUUGGAGCAUAAGUUGGACUUCAAGUUAUUGAUUUUCUCCUGGAAGGUAGACUCGCGCUCAGUAGCGGCAAUGGCAGCAUCGUGACAUUCGGCCCACUUUGCCUUAGCUUCUUCAAACUUUUCAUAUAAUUGAGUAGCUUAUUGGCUGUGGAACUUUCCCGUCAAGCAAGAAAUCUUCACCUACUUCCCGGUAACACUAAGUUGCAUUAUCGAAAAAGUAGGGGGACUAUCUGUAUGUAGUAAAAUUGGUUGAUAACAAGUGGUCAAAUGGUAAGACGACACGUGGAGUCGAAGAUAGACAAAGGACGAGUCGAAAAAUAAUUAGUACUGAAUGCGACGUGUGUGACCGGUAUCAGAUGGAUUCCGAAGGGAAUGUAGCCGGCAGUAGAAGUUCAAAGAUUCGCCAUCGGACAACAUUUAAUAAGGGAAUAUUUGCUAGCGUUAAAUGAGAAGCCAUUACAGAGAAUAUUUGCAUUCAAGGCUUGCCGUUACAUAUUCAGCAAUGAUACUUUUAUUCUUAUUUAUAGAGGAGCUUGGUCCUAGUAUCUUGUUUCCCUAGGUAGAACUAUAAAUAGUGGGGUUAACACAAUUGUAAGGACACAAAACACUCUAUACGCAAAAGCCAUACUUUACUAUUUAGCUCUCAUACUUUACUAUUUAGAUCUCACUUUCACAACUUCAUCAUUGCUUUAUCUUUACUUUCACUUUUGUUCUUGGAAAGGCUGAGUUCGGAACCAGGCUUGUUAUCUUCUUUAAUUUCAAUCGCUAAAUCUUAACUUCAAUUUUAUUUCUUUAUCGUUUUUGGGUCAAAUCAAUUCGCUUGUCUUAAACCACAUUACAAAUUCAACUGUACCAUUUUACGGUUAAAUAAUAUGCACAUUUGUUUUAAGAUCACAAGAUUCACAUUUUAUUCUUAAAUUCUAUGCCCCUACAAACUAACUGAUGUUAGGCAAAAAUGCCAUACUUUUAGUAAUUACUAGCCUUACAUGUUGUUAGUUUAGUGGUUAAUUGUGCGACGUUUGAGCUAAAUUAUAUUAUUUUAUAUGUAGGAGUAUCGGAAAAUAAAGACGAGUGAAGAUUGCAUAAAAAGAGGACGAAAAUGCAAGAAAAGAGCACAAAAAUGCCAAGUACCAAAAUCGUGCUACAGAUUAGGCUUCGCGAGGUCUAUAGCCAGCUUGACCGCGCUACAGACCAGGCUUCGCGAGGUCUAUAACCAUCUUGACCGUGAUACAGACCAGGCUUCGUGAGGUCUAUAGUCAGGUUGAGCGCAUUAUAAGCCUGACUUCGCGAGGUCUACAGCCCAGGAAUUAAAAGUCGCGGGUGAAAAGUCUCCAACCCGGAUUUGGACUCAAGGACUUCAACCCUAGCCUAUAAAUACUCCCUAAACAUGUCUAAGAGAAGGGGAGGAUUUUUUUAGAGCAGAUUCGACCUAAAGGGGAGACGUUUUUGGAGAGGCGAUUCGACCCAAGGAGGCAAGAACACGCUAGGAGCAAGGCAGAGAAUUCUUCUGCGAGUUUUUCACUUUUUUCUUCCUAUUUCCAUUAUUGGUUAUGAAUUCUAGUAUUGUAAUUUUGGAUACUAUUAUGAAUAGCUAAUUUGUUAUCUAGGAUUUUGAUGAAACCUUUUGUAGGAUGAAUUCUUGUUAUGUUUUUAUAUAACUGAGUCGUUGGAUUUCUCUACUUGUUCAACUACGUAUUUAUUGCUAUUGAUUGAAUGGCCAUCAAUUGACUGCACCUAUUUAGUAUGUAUAUUGCUCGAGAGAGAGUACACAUUUGGGUAGUUGUUAAACAACAUCACUCCUAACGUAUAUGAGAGAUCAAUACGGAGGGUUUAAAGGCAGGAUUAAAGAUAACAAAACCUUGGAACGAUCGUAAUGAGCGGUGAAUUAGUGCCAGCUAGCGUAGUUCGAGAGAAUGCGUCUAGUAAAUUGUGAUAGUUGCUCGAGAGAGAGCUACAACACCCAAAGUACUCACGAUCGGUAGAGAAUACUUAGGCGAAAUUAUAGAAGAUGUAGCAGGAAGGAUUCCGACAAUUGGAAAAAUCAUAACUCUAGGCCUCCUUAAUCUUUUCUCCAACCCUUAAUAUCUUUAGUUGUUAAUCUAGUACUUUAAUUUGUUAGUUAAUUAGAUAUAAGAAUCUUAAUAUUUAUAACUUAGGAAUUGUUCGAGCUUGUCUUCUUAGUGAUAGUAAACAAUUAUAGCUAAACCUUAAUUUUUUGUGGGAUUCGACUCCGGACUCUUAGACCGGAUUAUAUUUAUAACGACCGCUUAUCCUUUUUAGGACUAGAGUUGGGCGUGAUCACUGACACACAUAAAGUUAAAUAGGAGAGUGAUUUAAAAAGUUAAUUUUUCUUAAUGUUUUAUUUUAUUUUAUGUGCUAUCUCUUUUGGAUGAGGCGAGUGGCCUAAUGAAGUUGAAUAAAGGACGUUCUUCUGUGAGAUUGAACCUUACAUCUAAGUGAUGCAGGUUAUUGAAAAGGAUAAUAUCAUUCUUCUAGUUGAAGUAAAAGAAACGGAGGUUCAUCUCCUCGUCAGUUAGCUACAGUUGGCAAGUAGAUUACCAUGAAGGACUUAAAAUUAUGUCGAUAAACCAUUCUAAUUAAAGCAUAAGAACCCCUUAAUUUCAGUUCUCUCUUUUGCAUUAGCGUUUGACAUUCUCUAUAGGAAGUGGAGUUUGUCUUGUAAUUAGCAUUUCGCUUUCAGUGCUGUCAAUGAUGCUCGGUAUUCAGGUCAAAUCUCAUUUAGGACUGACAUUCUCUAUAUAUUUUCUUGUCCUAAAUAUGAACAAAGACCGUCAUUUUAUGGAGGAGUUUGCAACUUUCAUUAAUAACAAUAGUAAACCGUGCAGACGUCCUUCUGUAAAACGUCUAACAAUUAAGCUAUGAAAAAAUGAACAUUAAGCUGAUUGAAUGGAAUGAACAGACAAGCAAAUAAUACAUUCCCUCAGAACAACAGUAGAAAGGAUAUGAAUACAAGACAAUAGUGAAAAUCAAGAACACAACAUUGACAUUUAACAACAAAUGCGAAACAAUCUCGCAACAAUAUUAGAGCUACAUCUUACAUAUAGGACGGAUGAAUAAAUCACAAACCCUAAAUUAAUACAAACCAAUUAAUGCAAUUGACUUCCUUGUUGAUGAAGAACAAUAUAAACAAGAAGAAAGAAAAAGAAAAGAUGAAAAAGUCAUAAUACGUGCAAAUGUCUUUGAUCAAACUAUUUAGGAGAUAAGACGUGAGUGCAUUAGCUCCAGAUUAAGUUUUCUCAUAUACAAAAGGCUAGCUGAUUCCUUUGUAGAUAUCUACAUUCUAAAUUUCCAAAUGUAAUUUGGAUAGACCAUUUCUUGAAGCAAUCAAAUGCUUUAAUUUGUUCUUCUUAUUUUAAAAGAGUAUGUCA